rnacentral:lncRNA from 1 species
UGGGUUCUCCUUUGUCUGUCGCGGGAAGCCGCUCUCUGCCGGUUGGUGAUUGAUUCGUCCCCUGCCGGGUCUCUGGUUUCUGUUCGAUUGAGGUGCCAGGGAAUGCUGGAGAAGGGAAUCCACCAUUUUUUGUCUAGUUGAAGUUGUCGUAGGGUUUGGGAGUAGUUUUAGUGGUUUAUUUUUGUAUUUCAUCUGAAUAACAUGGAGCAGAGGUGUGCGAUGGUAUUUGAUCAUUGGAUCAGUUAGUACAUGCUUGCAACUAUGGUGGUAACACGCUAUUUCAAUCUUACCCCAAAAAAGUACUCAAAGCUGGGAGUACAUUGAAGCAUGCCAAUUAUAAAUUCGACCUGUAGAUUAAGUUAUUAAUGGCAUCCAGGGGUUCAGGGCUUGAAGCUAUGUUCAUCAUUUGGUAUGUAUAUUUCCAUAUACUCACUAGUACGUUGCGUCCUAUGGAAAAAUUGCCCUUAUUCUACUGUUGCUGUGUUUGUGCAGUGUGGAGGUGAAAUCUAGAUUGCUGGCCAUUCCUUGUAUUGUUUCACACGUUAACCAGGUAUUAAUCGGCUACAGUUCCACCCUUUCUCUCAUCUGGACUCGUUUCUGGUUCAUAUAUCCGUGGAUUACUUCGAUAUGUUUACAGUAAACUGGUGGUACCUACUGUGGACCAUCCAUCUACUAAUGCGAUAUAUUGGCAUAAAAAUUGAAACAUGUUAUUUAUUAUGUUUCAAAUUGUGACAAUUUGUUGGAAAAAAUGUAUAACAGUUUGUAUUUGGUCACCCUGUGGUGUGUUGUCUCCAACUAUUUGGUACAAUUAUUUGAGAGGAAGAUUAUGCUGGUGUUUCCAUGUCGUUGAAUAAGCUACGAAGAAUAUGUUAAUCUCGUCAUCUCGUGUAGUCCUUUUUUUAACCACUUAACUGUUGUAGCUAACAAAGCAAUGUAUACAAAAUGUAUGUGUCUUGAAAUGAGUUUGAACAAAAGCAAUGUUACUGGGGUGAUUUGGUCUAGCAAGUGGAUAUGAACAAAGCAUUGCUUUAUUCAUCAACACUCCAACAAGUUUGCUUUGUUAGGAAAUAUGCAAUUUUUAUUUCCUAGGGGCCAAGGGCCAGUAUAUAUAUACACGUACAUGUGGUAAAUAUGCAGGAAACCCCUCAUACUAUGGGGAAAAUAUACAGAGUAUAUAUGGAACAUAAUAUAACUCUAUUAGUAAGAGCAACAUCAUCAGAAGCACAAAUGUGAACAUUGAGAUCCAUGGGAGUCUCAACAGUGCGCUCAUUAGUAAGAGCAACACGAGCAAGAAGAUCCUAGAUAUACUUCUCCUGGGAAAUAAAGAAGCCAUCAGAGGUAGAAGAAACCUCAAUCCUCAGAAAGUAGCAAAGAGGGCCAAGAUCAGACAAAAGAAGCUGCUAACUAAGACGUGCCUUAUCAAAGGCAAUGUAGUCAGGGUCAUCGCCAGUGAUGAUCAUGUCAUCAACAUAUAGAAGAAGACGAGUCCGACCACGAGCAGGAAGAUGGACAAACAUCGCAGGAUCAUGAGCACUCACCGAAAAACCAGCGGUAGUCACAACGAAGGCGAAGCAUACCAUGCCAUUAGGAACAAAAUACUCAGGUGGUGGCUGCAUGUAAACCUCCUCACAUAACUCACCAUUAAGAAAAGCAUUCUUAACAUCAAUCCGAGACACAGAUAAAUGGCGAACAGAGGCCACAACAAGAAGUGUGCAAGAGCAAAAGUCUCAUCAUCACCAUGACCAUGCUCCUGCUGAGAGCCACGAGACACAAGAUGACCUUUGUAGCGCUCAAGAGAACCAUCAGAGUGAGUCUUAACCUUGUAGACCCACUACAAGUGAUGGAACAAAUACAUAGAGGAAGAGAAACAAGAUCCCACGUGCCAAUGCGCUCAAGAGCAGCAAGCCAACAAUCUCCUUUGCAAUCGCAAGUUGCCAUUCGAGAUGAACACUAACAUCAUGAUUAGAAGUCAGCUUAAGCACAACAGUGCCAGGAAAACAUAGCGGUCAAUGGCAGGAUGAGGCCGAUCACGAAUACCAUAAAUCGGCUGAGACAAGUAAGGCAACACAUCAGAAGUAGAUGGAACAUCCAUAGACUCUUCCACUACACGUGGAUGGCUGAGUAUAAUUGUGAGGAAAAGAGGGAAGAGUAUGAGGAGGAAUUGCCAGAAUAGACUCGGGUGAUGGAAAUGGGGAAUCAACUAGAGAUGAACGCGCAAAAUCAUGUGACAAGUGGGGAGAGAAAAUCGUAGGAGAUGGUGGCAUCAGAUCUACAAUAGUGAGAUGAGUAGGAGGAAGGCAAUGGCGAGGCAAAGUGAGAGAUGUGUUAGGAGAAGUGAGGAAAGAGAUAUUCUCCAUUGAAAUUCCAGGAAGAUGGACGCGGAUAGAAGGGACAUGACUCAUCAAAAGUCACAUACUGAGAAAAUCGCAUCCGACGACUGACAGGAUCCCAACAAUGAUUGCCCUUAUGCUCAUCAUUAUAUCCUAAAAGACACACUCUACAAACCAAGUGGUCAGUUUGGUGCGUUCACUGAAGCAUUGCAUAAUCAGGAGAAUGAUGAACACGGCACUCGAAAGGAAUACCACCCUACAUAGUAGCGGGUGGCUGAAUGCUAAUGAGAAGGUGGAAGUGGGAACAACCUCGACCCAAAAGUUAGGUGGAAGAGAGGCGGCGAUCAUCAACACACGAGCUGUCUCAAGAAGAUGACGAUGCUUGCGCUCAGCCACACCAUUCUGAAAGUGAGCACCAGGACAAGAUAACUGAGCAAGAGUACCUUGCUCAGCAAGGACACAUCACAACAUCUUGGAGAUAUACUCUCCAUUAGAGUUAGCAUGAAACACACGAAUAGACGUAGAAACCUGAGUGUGAAGCAUGGAAGCAAAACACUUACAUAUAAGGAUAACCUCACUCGAGCAAAGGGAGUGGGUCCCCAUAUAUUGGAAUAAAUUAAAUCAAAAGGCACGCUGAGAGACUGACUCACCAUUAUGAUAGGGUAACUGAAUUUGUUUGCCAAGCCUACAACCCUGACACUAUAAAGAGACAUCUCCUAUGACAGACCCCAGAAGACCUAGAUGAACUAAAGAUGACAUACGAGAACAACAAAGAUAACCAAGUUGAUGGUGCCACUGUUGGAAGGAGCCGAUAGCUAAGCGACAUAAGUAGAGGGACUGACGAUAGUUGUAGCUUUGGAAGGAACGUGAGACUAGUCUAACUCUGAAAGACCCUGAAAGUCAUGGUGGCGAGGGUUAGCCCAACCACUGUGCGUGUGACGAUCCUGAACAGAACAAGAAUCAAUGUCAAGAAUGACACGACAACUAGAGUCAGUAAGCCGACCAACGCUUGUGUAAUGCGCCGGGCACACCGCCGGUUAUGGCCGUUACCCCUGGCGGGAUCUAGACUGGCCCCACAAAUCAAUACUAGUUUUUUCUGCGCAUUUUGUCCUCACUUGUGCGCACCAGGGACCAACUACCCGGUCGGUCACCCAUCCUAGAAUUAUUUCAAGCCAAGCAAGCUUAACUUGGAAGUUCUUUUCGAAUGGGCUCCCAGAAAAGAAGGAAUUCCUUAUUGAUAUGAGUAGUCUAUCAUCCCUAAUAAGCCAGGCUAUCACAUACACCCCACUUAGAGGAACCGAUGUCCUCGUCGGGCCACAGGAACGUUCCCUCUUGGCACAUACGUCUAUGCGUCCAAUCCUGUACAUGUGUCAUGUCGUGUGCCACGACAUGUCACAAACGUCAUGAACAACAUGACUGCGCACCUAACCCACAAACAUACGUGUAACCGCGAGAGUCGACUCUGAUACCAACUUGUAACGCCCCGGACACACCCGCCGGUUAUGGCCGUUACCCCUAGCGGGAUCUAAACUAACCGCACAAUUCAAUACUAGUUUUUCCUACGCACUUUGUCCUCAUUCGUGCGCAUCCGGGACCAACUUCCCGGCCGGUCACCCAUCCUAGAAUUACUCCAAGCCAAGCACGCUUAACUUGGGAGUUCUUUUCGAAUGGACUCCCGAAAAAGAAGGAAUUCCUUAUUGAUAUGAGUAGUCUAUCAUCCCUAAUAAGCCAGGCUAUCACUGCUUACUAGCGGAAACGGGUUCAUGGUAAGUUGAGGAACAUGAGCAACAUCAAGAACAUAAAAAAGUGGUAAGAGUAUCCCGACUAGCAACGAAAAGAGUACCAUUAGCUAUGAGAACAUUAGUAGAAAAUUGAGAGAUUUAAGAGAUGACAAGGUGGAAGAGUCAUAAGACAUAUGAAAGGAAACUCCAGAAUCUAGAACCCACUGAGAUGUACCUAAAUGUUGUGGUGGUCGCUCAGUGCCAGAAGCAUCAGUCACAAAACCUGCAAGACCCGUCGAACAAGAAUUUGAAGCGGCAAGCAAAUGAUUAAGCCUAUAUCCUGCUCAGUUAAGGCAAUGGCUUAGGAUGUUGAAGUAGAGGCACGAGUUCCAGAAGAAGAUGUGCGCCCCUUGUUGCGCAUGUGCCACUUCAUCAUGAAGCAAUCAGACUCGGGUGACCAUACUUGUUGAAGUAGUUUCAAUUAGUACGAGAGCGACCCUCGCCACUAGGAGGAGUGGGCAUGAGCAAUGGAGUAUUAGAGCAGGAAAGAGCCGAUGAAGUAGAUGGCGUAGCAGGAGUUCGUGCAGCGAGCACAGAGGGAACCUCAAGUAGACCGACACUGAGUAGGUGAGUCUCUUCAACACGAAUCUCCGAAAGCACCUUCAUAAGAAAAACACGGGCACGAGCUGACAGCUCAACGCGCUGCGGCUCAAACUUCUUACGGAGUGGAGACAAGAAGUUGUAGACGCGCUGAAAGUCCAAGUCGGACCGCAUAGCCUGGCAACAUGGGCAAAAACCACAACUUAGUGUGAAGAGAAUCGAGCUGCCGCUAGAUAGCAGAACUCUACGCGUAGAAAUUAUCAACAAUGGAGUCACCCUGCUGAAGAGCAUGGUCCUGAUAGACUACAGAUAGGUAUAGGGCAUCACUAGAGGGUUGAUAGUGUGUCGAAGAUGGUUCCACAUCUCGAAGACAGUAGUGAGACCCAUAAACUCCGUGGCAAACUGAGGUAGAACACUGGAACUGAGAACAACCGCAGCACGAGCAUCAUCACCAAACCACUGAGUGUAGACAGACAACUCAUCAUGAUACAUCUCAAGGGCCACCUGGUAGUCCGAGGCCUGCUACUCAUAAGCAGCAACCAGAACAACGUCAUCAACAAUCUUGGCUGCAUCCUUAUCAGCCUAGCAGUAGCGCGGGUUUUAGACCUAUCAGUAGCGCGUGCUGGAGCGCUACUGGUACGACGCUACAGCUAAAGGUUAGCAGUAGCAUGCCUCAACCCACGCUAUUGCUAAAUCGACUUAGUAGUAGCGCUUUCCCAGAGGAGCACUACUGGUAAUGAGUAGUAGCGCUUCUCCCUGCCCGCGCUACUACUAUUAUUUCAUAUUUUAUUUCUUUUUUAUUUCAUGUUGUAUUCAUACACCUUUACACAAGUUUUCAUACAACAGGAAUUUAGAGAUUGUUUUUACAUCAUAAUGAUUUAUUACAUCAUGUGGUGAAAGAACCGUGGACUAGUUGAGAUCCACUUGAAACUAAUCUGCGGUUCUUUCACUCAAUGAUAUAAUAAAUAUCAUCAUCAUCAUCAUCAUAUCAUUAACAACUUAUCAUCAUAAUACAUCAUUGUCAUAUAACACCUCCUCAAGAUCAUUGUUUUCAUCAAUGAGACAUCACAUAGCAAAUUGCUCACUAGUCGUAAUCACAACUACUCCUCAUCAUCAACUCUAACACAUUGUACCACAUAAUAAAUAUAUUGUACCUCAUAGGACCUACUACAUUCUCUUAGGACCUACUAUAUUCUCUAAGGUAAAAUAGCAAAAAACAAGAUAGCCCCUGACUCUCCAUUAUGGAGAAUGGAGAUUAUCCUAUCUCCAAUUCUUGCAUUUUGCUUAUUGUUACUUCCAAGAACCUCCUUAUGAAUGUCCAAACAUUUUUUCUAUUCUUUGAUUAGCAUGUGUUCACCGGUUUUAGAAAUCCGAUAUGCACAGGUGAGAUCCGUACGUUGACCUGGCUGUAUGUUCAGAACUGCAAGGCAACCAUUCUGAUACAUCAGAUGAGGCACACAAUCCAUCGGGAUUUUCUGUUGAAAAACAUAGUAAUAACUUCGUAGGUAGCAAUGAUGUACUAGUCUUCGAAGUAUGCAAAAGAUGCACGGAUGUCGUAAUAGUAAAAAAUCUUAUCAGGGUAUCUCCAUAGAAGUUACCGUGGUUCAACACGUGCACUAGUGGCAUGUAUUCACCAUAAUUUGGAGGAGUUCGAUAAUAGGUAUUGUAAUUCUCAAGAUAAGUAUAAAAUGCGAUCUGAUGACUUUUCUCCUUAUAAGUUAAUUCGGAGCCAUCAGUAUAGUGGGUUUUGUCUACCAUGUUCCGCACAUUUUUUGAAGAAUCAAAAUAAGCUGUCAAUGGAAAUAAGUUGUCAACUAUUUUGAAAUAAACAAUAUAAAUUAGUUAAUAACUAUGUUUGAGAAACUCACAUUGCGGUAGAAUCGGAAGCGUAUCAAUAAGGACCCAAAUGUCCAUAUUGUCUUGCUCGAUGUCAGGAUCACCAAGAUCCAUGGUGACAAUCAUACCCUCAUAAAACCAUACAUUUUGCAAAGUGCUUCCCAAUUUUGGCAACCAAAAUGGGUUACACUCUGAGAAUUGUACAGAUUUACUUCAAAAUCCAUAUCGUGAUGGGUCCUUAGGUAUAUUUUAUUUGUUUCAAAAUUUUCAUGGUCUUCAAAACCCAUCCUCUCCAAGACAUAGCAUCUUGCAUGGCAUGGGAUAAGCUAGUCGAAUUGUAAAAGAUGAAAAUUAGACGUUGAAAUAGUUGAAGUCAUGUUUAAUUACAAAAAAAACACUUGUCGUCGUUGCCUACCGUUUCAACAUCGAAGGUCUCCUCGAGCUUAAUGCUGAAGCACCGAUCUUCAUCCAGUUGAAGGAACCUGUCGCAUAGACCUCGAUCCUCAUGGCACCAGUUGCACUCCCCCGGGAGACUGUUGUCGUCCGAGUACGACAUUUCUUACGUUCAUAAUUCAAAGAUUAAACUUGUACAAUUAAAUAUAUGUACUAAAAAAAUCUAAAUUAGAUCAUUAUUUUUUGAGAAAAUCCAAGCCACUCGAUAUUUCCUACAUAUUCUAGCACAAGUCAUGCCAGAAUUCACGAAAAAAUCUGGCAUGACCUUUGCUAAAAAAGGACAUAUCGAGCGCCUGAAAUUUGCCGGAAUGGAAAUUAAUCAACACUCCGGCAAAACAUAGGCCACUCGGAGGUGUCACCUGAACAUGACCGGCCACUUGGGCAAGCACAUAUCCUAUUUGAGCAACACAAGAUAUACAUGGAGAUUUGGCUGAUCUCACCUCUAGGUCGGAGGGGGUUAGUGACGGGGACGACGGCGGGGAUGAUGGAGGGGUUCCUUGAUUUCUGCAAAAGCAAAAACCCUAUAAGUUAUCACUAAUACAUCCCGAAUAAUUGCUUAAACUAAAAAAAUAACAACAAAUAUGACAUGUUCAACUAGUUCUAUUAAUUCAACUAGUUCUUACUAAAUAUAAACNNNNNNNNNNNNNNNNNNNNNNNNNNNNNNNNNNNNNNNNNNNNNNNNNNNNNNNNNNNNNNNNNNNNNNNNNNNNNNNNNNNNNNNNNNNNNNNNNNNNNNNNNNNNNNNNNNNNNNNNNNNNNNNNNNNNNNNNNNNNNNNNNNNNNNNNNNNNNNNNNNNNNNNNNNNNNNNNNNNNNNNNNNNNNNNNNNNNNNNNNNNNNNNNNNNNNNNNNNNNNNNNNNNNNNNNNNNNNNNNNNNNNNNNNNNNNNNNNNNNNNNNNNNNNNNNNNNNNNNNNNNNNNNNNNNNNNNNNNNNNNNNNNNNNNNNNNNNNNNNNNNNNNNNNNNNNNNNNNNNNNNNNNNNNNNNNNNNNNNNNNNNNNNNNNNNNNNNNNNNNNNNNNNNNNNNNNNNNNNNNNNNNNNNNNNNNNNNNNNNNNNNNNNNNNNNNNNNNNNNNNNNNNNNNNNNNNNNNNNNNNNNNNNNNNNNNNNNNNNNNNNNNNNNNNNNNNNNNNNNNNNNNNNNNNNNNNNGCUUACAGAGAGGGGAGAGAUGAUGGCGGGGAGGUGCUCGACGAGGGCGGGCUCGGGAUCGGGAGGCGGCGGUGCUGGGCGGGCUCGGGCGACGACGGUGAGGUCGAGGGCGGUGGUGGUGAGGUCGAGGGCGGCGACGGUGAGGUCGAGAACGGCGGCGGUCGGCGGCGGUGAGGUUGAGGGCGGCCUCGGACGGCGGCGGUGAGGGCAGGCUCGGGCGGCGGCGACAGAGGAGUAGGGGAACAGGGGGAAAUGGAGGACUUAGCAAAAUUUUGAGCCCGCGGGUCGUUAAGUCGAACUAGCGGUAGCGCACUUUAGUAAACGUGUUGUAGCUAACGUAGCAAUAGCACGUUUUACGUAAAAACGCUACUGAUAAGUCUAAACUUAAUUAGGUGCAAUACUUAGCAGCAGCGAGUUUUGAAGAAAAACGCUGCUACUAAGUACUUUAGCAGUAGCGCGUCCAGGGAAGGGUGCUACUAUUAUAUCUAGCCUGGAGGCAACGCCGUGGCAAUUAUAGUAGUAGCUCUUGUUUCAUCUAGGGCGCUACUGCUACCACGUUAUUAGUAGCGAGCUUUCGUCAAGCACGCUACUGCUAAUUAGCAGCAGCGUUUGUUUUUAAACCGCGUUGCUGCUAAGAUUCUGUAUAUAAGGUUUUUCCUAGUAGUGUUGAGAGGCCACACAGUAUACAUGAUAUACCACCUAUAAUCUUAAGUAGGCUGUAAUCUUGAGAUUGCAUGAACCAAAAGUUUUAUAUCAUGGUCCAGCAAAGCAGGUCUCACCUAUAUUUUAUCCUUCAGUUCCUCCUUUUCAAAGGAAAAUCCCCAAAAUUGAACUUCCAAUAAUGAUCACCAGUGGGCACAGUCAAUUUUGCUGGUGAAUCAGCCAGAGGACUUCCACUUGUAGGUGUACGGUGUACCCAGUACCCACAGGCCACAGCCCACUUGUAGGUCUUCAGCAUGAAAGAAGCAAUAGUCUUUCUUUACUAAAAGCUGGAAGGGAACUUGACCCAUACUUGACAAAGUUACACGGGUCACAAGGUACAUGCAGUCACUGGGCACAUGGUACAAGAUCUGUCAAUACAAGAGUUGUGAGUAAUGAUGCACAUGCUCGGUUCAAUGGACUGUGAUCCCUGCGGCGGGCUUGAGAAUGACAGCUUUUGCUAGUAGGGAAAAAUAUCUAUACGAUUGAAAAAUGCUCGCUGCUCAUGGUGUUACAGUGAAGGGCAUUUCCGAUACAGUUAUUCAGAGUCUGAUAAUCUUCAGCUUGUAGCUUCUCUGGUGAAUGCCCAGUUCUUGUAGACUCAGGUCAUGUAUGAUUGUGAGCACGGCUUCUGCUUCUUGCAUGCAAUCAUGUCAUGUGGUGGCGAGGCAUAUGAAAGGACUCCGACGGGCUCUGGCCUCUGGGUGAGCAUGGCUGUUGUUUCUACGGGCUCUGCGAGAGUGGGGGUUAAAUUCUCAAGGGCGAGACGGCUUCCAGUGUCGACACGUCGGCGGCGCUACAUUGGAGACUGAGAAAUAUCCUGCUUGUUGCCAAGACUUAUCAGUACUGUGAGUGCCCUUAUCUCCCAUCUUUUUCCCUGUCAAAUCUGUCUAUUGUCCUUUCAUGUUUGGUAAUGUUAGUUUAUUGGAGUACUACGGGUUCUGUUUGCAUGUUCUGAAUCCUGUGACGAUUGUACUUCUGCGAACAUGGUUGGGAACGAUAAGUAGCAACCUGAUAGGGAAGUACGAAAACAAUUUGGCUCAACUGUAGCUGAACUGAAGCAACUGGUAUUAGCCCUCUAAUUUUUGGAUUAAUAUUGAACGUCAUUUCUGCAAAACUUGAGUAUGGUCACACCCACAGUGUGUCAUCUGCACGAAUUUCGCAUGAAAUUGGUGGCAGAAACAUAAGCACUGACUGCAUAGAUUUGGUUGUAAUCUGGACGACUAAACUAAGUGUUGCUGAUCUAAAUAAAAAAAAGGCAAGAACUCAGUGUUAAAUAGCAAGUCAGUUAAAAAUCUACCUUCCAAGAUUGAGGCCUUGUCUUUCUUUUGUUUGUUGACAAAAUAUUUAAAGUUUGUACCACAUGAUGUUUCUGUACUUGUGGGAAUUCCUAUAAUAUUUUUUUCAUAGCAAAUUACCUGUCCAGUUAGUUUCGUAUGAGCAGGGUCUUUGUAGAGAGUUGCAUAGGAGUUCUGGCAGCCAUGCAUGCGUGGCUCGUAAUACGCCUGUCAAGCAUGUGCUCUGGACAAAUUUUCUGUAAGAACCAGUUCAUUUGGGAACUCAGUUGAGAGUUGAGACGUCAUGUUGAAAGUCAUAAUGAAGUGGUUGAAUGCAUUACAAGUGAAAACCACCUAGCAAAAGCCACUAUAAGAUGAGAGGGUGACAUUAUAGAUUCUUUUUUUUUCGAGAGUACGCCAAAGGCGUACCUUAUCUUUAUAGAAGAGGAGAAAAAUUUGUACAAGACUCCGCGGUUGGACAAAGAACCCUACCACGGAAACGCUAACUCCUAGAAAAAACACAAAAGCCUACUCUCUCACGAAAGGAUCUAACCCCUCAACUCCUAGACCCGCCUUCUUCCAAAGCUUGAUCUCGUCAUGAAUGAGAUGAACAAGGUUGGUCUCCGAGCGGACUUGAUCAUUGCGGUUGAACACCCGAGCGUUCCUCUGCUUCCAUAAGUUUCACGCGGUCAGGAUGACAAGCGAAUCAAAACCUCUCUUGAGCUUUCCAUGGAAGAACUUCCUCGCCUUGUCCCACCACACCAUGAAAGUAUCCUCGGAGCUCGGAAUUUGGACGUUGAUUUGAAGCAGCCGGAAACAACCAUCCCAAACCUGUCUCGCGUAGACGCAACCAGCAAGGAUAUGGUCUGUUGUGUCCUCCUCUUGGUAGCAUGUGUAACAUGCUGAAGUCGUAUCUUGGAGACCAUGUCUCGCACGUCGGUCCGAAGUCCAUAACCGAUACUGAGAGGCAAGCCAAGCAAAGAUUUUGCACUUGAGGGGCACCCAACUUCUCCAUAUGCAUUGGGCAGCGGCAAACCGAGUCAUGCCCUGACAAAGCAUACUAUAUGUGGAUUUAGCGCUAUAGGAACCUGAGGCACUCCAGGGCCAGUAGAACGCAUCAUCAUCCGAAGCAUUCCUUUGAAUCGUCGCCAAGGCAUGUUGUAAGUGAAUGAGCUGCAGAUGUGCCGUGAAGGUUAACUCGCCUGAGAUAUCAUUGACCCAGGAGUCCUCGAGAAGUGCGUUCUGGACCGUUCUUUUUCUCUUCGUGAGCUUGUCCACCAUGCCGGCGAUCAAAGGGGCGAUAUCUUUCGCCGAAAACCCAUGAAUCCAUCUAUCCGUCCAGAAGAAGAUCUUGCUGCCCUCUCCCACCUCGAUGUGGACCAGACUAUCGAACACCGCUUUGGCUUCUUUGUUCAACCAGUAAUUAGUUUAGGGCACGACCUGAUUGGUUCUCAGUUCAACCAGUUCUCUUCUGUAUGAUUCAUUUGGAUGUGAUUCCGAGCUGAAAACAUUGCUGUAAUCCAUUGCUUGAGAUAGUUGCAGGAUGCAGUCGCUGAUGGUGAAGUCUUUGAAAAUAAUGUAAACCUUUUCAACUAGCUAUGUUAUGAUUGUUUUAGUCUAGUAUGGCAGCAACUCCUGAGUUGUACAGUGGUCAUCCUACGCUUAAACUGCACCCCAUGUCCCUGCUCAUCUACAAUAAGAAGGUGAUGUCAAGAAUAUUCCUUGAUACAGUAUGUGAUAAUGUGGCUUUCUGGAACAUGAUUAAUCUCAGGUAAAGAUGACCAAAGGCAUGAAAGGACAAAAGGUAUGGGAGACAUUUUCUUCCAUUUUCUUGUUUUUUCUUUGUGUACUUGUUUAUACUUUAUACUAUCACUGAUAAUGACGUGAAGUGAAUAUUGCCUUGUAACCAAUGGAGAAGGAUGUUGGUUGAUCUUGCAUUGAAGUUUUUUUUUAACGAAAAUGCUGAGAGCAGCUUUUCAUUGAUAUUGGGGGGUUUAGGGGAGUUUGUUACAAGGGAUGUACAGGUCCAGCACAUGCACCGCUGGACUUGCCUACACCAGUACCAGUACAACAACUAAUGCAGGUCCUUAGUCAGGUUCCCUAGGUCUAUGCAGCAGGGAGCUCGCCUUGCCCCUACCGGCGGCUCGCCACACACCUGCUUCCUCAAUCAUCUUCUCGACCACUGCCCUCACUGGCGAUUGUUGGUUCCUGAAUAUUCUUGCGUUACGCUCGUUCCAAGUGGACCACCAAACGAGCUGAACCAGGGCACUCUACUUCUUCUUUGCCGCUGCAGGAAGCACACUAGUGGUGCGUUCAACCCAUUGUGAGAGUGUUGCCUUGGUAGGAGAGGGUGCGAGAUCUUGCGGCAGGUUGCACUGGUGAAGGACGGCUUUCCAAACCUGAAUCGUGAAGGGGCAUGUAGCCAACAAAUGAAUGACGUCUUCCAUUGGCCCAUCACACAAAGAGCAAGUUGUGUUAUGGGGCCAUCCCUUCCUAGCAAGCAGGUCGGCAGUGUUGCAGCGCCCAAGAAUUGCCAGCCAUGCAAACAAAUUGCACUUGCCUGGCACGUCGGUUUUCCAAACGAACUCGGCGAAACCACUCCGAGUGCAGCCCUCGAACUGGAUUAGAUAAGCUGAUUUAGCCGUGUAGAUUCCGUUGGCAGUCCAUCGCCACCGCACCUGAUCAUGCAUCGUUGAGAGGGUGGUGCUGCUGAUCCCCUCCCAAAGGGCCAAGAACUCCCUCGUGGCCUGCACAGGGAGGUUCUGUUUGAGGUGCCUGACCCAUCGGCCAUCCCCAAGGGCCUGGGCAACAGUGAGAUUCUUCCUAGUGCAUUGCUCGAGCAACUAAUUUUGGUGCCUUUUCAUGCCUAUAGAUACCACCUAUUUCUUUAGUAGUUUGAAUUGAUUGCACGGUUGCACCCAUUGCCACUCCCAAAAUUAGUUACCUCGUUUAUGUUCUCAGAAGGUAUUCUAGCUUGGGAUGCAAGUGGAGUCGGCCAACCCAUUUUCUUCCUAGUUCAUUUGCUUGACAAAAACUCAUGUACAGGAAUGACUGUCGGUUGAGCUGGAAAUGAACAUCCUAUUUAGUGAGGUGGCCCAAUCGGUUGACCCAUUUGCAUCCCUACUUUUCUAGCCUUUAGGCGAACAUGAGCCUUCUUACUAUGUAUGACCGGUUGGUUGGGUCAGAUAGGCUUCAUAAUGUGGAUGACCGAACGAAUCAGGUACCAACUUAUCGUCUUUAUAAGUGUGGUAUGCACCGGAUCCUUACCAUGACGUGGUCUCAGGUUGCAGGGGUGGAAGGAGGGAUGGCGUGGAGGAAGGUGUGGUCGCCGGCGCUGGGGCGCCGUCGUUACGUGCGCGCGCGCAAGAGAGAGAGAGAGAGUGCAGCGGCGGCUAGGGUUAGGUCUCCCGGCUCCCUAAGAAAGCCGAGCAAAUAUGAUUGCUUCCUGCUUGGUUAGAUUGAUACAUCUCCCCUCCUUGUAUAGAGAGGUUUACUUGACUCCCAAACAAGCGACUCUUAUCUCUAAUUAACCCUAAGACUAGCGGGCUAUACUGCCAGCCCAGGCCAAUUAGGUCAUUACGUACUCUAGCACUACACCCCAUCUGGACAUGCAGCUUGUCCUCAAGCUGCAACCAAACCAACUGAUAACCAUGACUCGAGGCAACACAAACCUAACACCAAAAAAUAAGCCUUUUACAUCUCGGCUUGUUUUAUUGUUCUCAACCUGAAAUGGACUGGGAGACUUUAUUUUGGACCCCUCAACAUAAAGUGGACACCAUCCGCACGUCGGACGUGUACGUGUAUAGCCACCUGGAUCCCAUGGACAUCAUCUAGUCUAGACAAAAGGAGUGCAUGUGUAUGGUCACCUAGAAGUGGUCGCAAGAGCGACCAACAUAGGCGACCUCGCGGCGGACGGUGGCGGAAUGCAGUGGUGCUACGCGGUGCGCUCCUGUCGGUGACACCAUGCCUUCUCCCUGCCGGACGGCUGUUGGUCUGCACCGCACAAAGAAGAGUGGAGGGCUUUCGAUGGAGAAUGACGGGGAGGGGUGCGCCUCCCCAACCACCGAUGUCGCAGACGUUGAGGUCGCUGCCCGCGGGGAAAAUAGCAUGCCCGCCGCCCGUGGGGGAAACGCAUGCCCAAGAUCCCCGACGCAGCGGACGAGAUCGAGGCCCUUUGCGCAGCGAAGCGCAACUUGGAAGAGCUGCAACUGCAGACCACACAUCUCCCGCACACACCGGCGCUAGGAGGCCGCGCGCAGCAGCCUGCAGCUUCACCGCCGCCGACACGUGACGUGUAGUUGUCCAAGUCGGAAGCGGUGACGGCAACGGCGGAAACUUGAUCUGCUGUAUGGGGACGCCCUGGGACGGCGACUCCGCCGAUGGGAACGAGGUCGUCGCAGUCCCGUCGUAGCGCAUCCCAUACUAGUACGAGAUGACCGGUGUCGUGGUCGCGGCCGAGGAGGGCGGCUGCAGGGGCAACUGCUGUUGGUGUGGCAGCAGAGGAGGUGCAUAGGGCCCGACGAGGAAGGCCCUGAUGCCCGCCACGGCCUGCUGUAAUUCCAGGAUUGCGGCUGUCAUCUGCUUCGGGGUGAGGACGAGGGCGGACAGCGCCGGGGCAGAGGGUGCAAUCGCCCCUGAGGACGCCAACACACCCACUGCCGGCGCGCCUGCUGUGUGGGCCAGCAGCGCCGACGAAGACACUGGUGGCGACGGGUAGGUGUGCGGCGGCCGCGGGUGGGAAGAACUCGGUGGAGGGCUGAACAUGAUCGAACCCGGGAAAGCUGAUACCAAAUUGGUAUGAACCGGAUCCCUACCAGGGCAUGGUCUCAGGUUAUAGGGGUGGAAGGAGGGAUGGCGUGGAGGAAGGUGUGGUCGCCGGCGUUGGGGCGCCGUCUAUGACGCCCCCGAUUCAAUCAUACACUAAUCAUACACGCAAAUGUGUACGAUCAAGAUCAAGGACUCACGGGAAGAUAUCACAACACAACUCUAGACACAAAUUAAACUAAUACAAGCUUUAUAUUACAAGCCAGGGGGCUCGAGGGCUCGAAUACAAACGAGUCGGCGGAAGCAACAAUAUCUGAGUACAGACAUAGGUUAAACAAGUUUGCCUUAAGAAGGCUAGCACAAAAGCAACAUCGAUUGAAAAGGCAAGGCCUCCUGCCUGGGAGCCUCCUAACUACUCCUGGUCGUCAGCGGCCUCCACGUAGUAGUAGGCACCCUCAGUGUAGUAGCAGUCAUCGUCGAAGGUGGCGUCUGGAUCCUGGGCUCCACCAUCUAGUUGCAGCAUCCGAGAAGAAUGGAAAGAGGUGAAAAAAGGGGAGCAAAGCAACUGUGAGAACUCAUUCAAAGUACUCGCAAGUAAGGAUCUACAUUACAUAUGCAUCAGUAUCAAUGAAAUGGGUAGUAUCUGUGGACUGAACUGUAGAAUGCCAAAAGAGAAGGGGAAAGCCUAGCCUAUCAAAGACUAGCAUCUUCAAGCAGCUCCAAGCAUCUUGCCGCAAUCAGAAGAGUAUAGAAUAACAAUUUAUAUUUAACAAACAUGUUCUAGAAAUAACACCCAGAGAUCCUUCCCCGACUCCCUGCGGGAAAGCAAUCUCGGAGCCACAUAUCCAUUACAUGCCUCAGCAUUCAGUAUCCAGUUCUAGUUGUAUCGAUCGGGAUACAACUUCGAGCGUCUGUUACCAUGGACCCGGCUAUUCGAAUAGAUCAAUCUUCCCUGCAGGGGUGCACGAACUUACCCAACACGCUCGAUCAGCUCCGACCGGACACACCAUCAGGUCAUGACCGCCCUCGGCCGAUCAACACACCGUAAUCCUACCUAGGCUCAUCAGAGAGGCCAGCACGCCGGUCUAAGUCCUAAGCGCGCAGGGGUCUCGGGCCCAUCGCCCUUUGCACUCCCGCACGUUGCGUACGCGGCCGAUGAGCAGACCUAGCUACCUCCUUAAAAAAGGCAGGUGCUUACGCAGUCCAACCCGGCGCGCGCCGCUCAGUCACUGACGUCCGUUGAGCUUUCAGCUAAUACAUACGACGUAGAGUGCCCACACUUAUUCCCGCGUGGUGGUUCAUGUGAAAAAGGCCAGAGGCCUACUCAAGUCAAAUAUCCAAAGUGUAGUAGAUUAGGAGCAUGCGGUAACGAGCAGAGACUCACGAUCGAUGUGACCCCGUCGCCCCGUCUCGUGGACUUGCGACAAGGGCUAAGAAUGCCUGGCCACGCCUCGUCAUUAACUCACGGGCACCCUCCAGGUCAACCCGUCUCCACAUCACUCGCAUCACAUGCUCGUGCGGGUACCCCUCAGGGUCGACCCGUCUUUAUCCACUUUAAUCUGUAACAAUAGUAAUGUAAAGGCAAUCCGUGUGGCUACCACAUCAAGUAGGAACCCGAGGCAUCACCCUCGUUGGAUUCCCGCCUGAUGUAAACAUCAAGGUGAACGUAAGAGGAAAUCACCAUCGAGGUUCACACUUGAGGUGUUGCACGACAGCAUCGUUAUCAGAAGUGGAAAAGGAGGAAUCACCCUCGAUGACCACGACUGGGUAACUACUCCAUAGAGAUAGCAUCAGAAGUGCUAACGAGGUAUCACCCUCGGCACUCGAUAGUAAGCUGCGGUGCCGUACAACUAAGGGGAGUGCUGUGCGAUGCCGGGGCCUGGUCUUCAAUCCCGUUGAUCGGGUCUUCUGAUAAUCCAGCGGGGCAGUUGGGUCAACAUGGGGUCUCUGAUGGGUCUCUAACAAGCCUAUACUAAGCAGUUUAGGAUAAAUAGGUAGGUAACAAUAGCAGGUUACAAGAUCAGGCUAUGCAUUAGAAUAGGUAAAGCAGUAGCAGCGACAAUUUCUAAUGCAAGCAUAAGAGAGGAGAAUAGGCAAUAUCAAAAUGUUCAAAGGGGGGUGCUUGCCUGGAAGCUCUGCAGCAAGGGCCUGGUCGUCAGGGACGCAGUCGUACUCCAGAGCUGCGUCUGCUUCGGGGACUACAUCGGUGUCGAGGUCUAACGAGAGAGAAGAGGGGGAGGAAACAGAUGAAUACACAUCAAACAAUGCAACACAGAGCAUGCUAUGCCUAAGAUGCAGUGCAGGGUUGCCUAAAGAUGCAUCCAAGUCAUUUUAGUUAUUUUAGGAUUAAAGUGGGAUUUAUUAACCGGUGUAUAUGCACUAUUCAUAUACCGAAUCGGAAGGAAGUUGCGGGCUCACCUACGUAGAGGGUUCCGACAUGGAAACAGACGACGCGAUCAAAUUCGUCUCGUCGUUCUGAGCAACUUUCAUGUAUUAAGUUUUUCGAUUCGAGCUACGGUUUAUUUUUUAUGAUUCUCUGAAGUUUAAACAAUUUUCUGAAAAUUCCUGAUUUGUUUUUAAUUCAGGAAUAAUAGCAAAAAUGCUAUGUGUACACACUGGGUGUACCCAGCAGUGCUGUUAGAGGCUGACAGUGGGUCCCGUUGACUAGUCAGCGAAUAGUGUACGCAGACCCACAUGUAAGUGUCUCGAGUCUUUAACAAUGAUUUUAAUCAGUUUAUUUAGUUAGUGGGGGCCCAUCGGUUAGUGAGAGAUUAGGGGGGUUAGUACUAAACAUCAUUAGGCACCUAAUUACAAGGGCCGACCAUCAGAGGCGGGCGUGCUCGCGUGUACGCAGCGCAGACACCAUGGCCACGGCGCUGCCGGCAGCUGCGACAAGCGCGGCCCGCGAUGAGCUGUGGCCCGAGGCGAGGCAGUGGGCGGUCCCGCCAGUGGGGGCGGCCUGGCGAACGCGAGGCCGAGGCGGGCUCGGCCGGGAGCGGCGAGGCGUGCGUGCGAGGGGCGGUUGCAGGCGGCGAGGACAUCGGCAGAACGCAGCAGCGGCGCAUCAGCAGGAGGCAGAGCAAGCGGCAAUAGGCUGAGCAGCAAGCAGUAGCUAGUAGCAGGCGGCAGCAGAGCAACAGUAGCAGGUUCAGGCGAGGACGCGGCACAUGGGGGGCGUGGCGUGAUGAGCGUGGCCAUGAGCACGAGCUCCAGCGAGUUCGGCCGUGACGGUGUACAACAUCUAUGGCGAUGGAACAAAGGGGGGGGAUCCGGGAAUAGUGGGAGGGCCUCACAACGGAGCUCGUGGGCGCGUCGGGGAAGCCGAGGGAGCUCGGGAGGAGGCGACCGUGGCGAUGUAGACAGGAAGAAGAUGACGAUGUCGAGGCUUGAAGGCGUCCUAGCUCGGGUUGAUCCACGCAGGCAAAGUCGUCAAAGGGGAUGAAGCUCCCGGACAAGUGGAGGCGGCGGGGGACGGCUGGUGGACACAUGAAUGAUGGCGGCGCGCUUCGGCUCCAGUCGGCUGAGCGCCUGAGCGAGGCAAGGGAGGGAGAAGUGGGGGUUAGGGUUUGUUCCAGGGUGGAGGGGUAUCUUAUCCUUUCGGGGCACCGACGGAUGGCUACCCCGUGGCCAUCGGCACCAUGGACGUGCGCCCGGCGUCGACGGGGGCUUCUGUGAACAGAGGAAGAUGGAGAUGGGAGGUGGGCUGGGCCUGCACACUGUGCACUCAUGGCCCAUGUGCGGGGUGGGCUGCGUUGUUUUCCUUUUUAUUUUAUUUUUCCCUUUUGUUACUUAUUUCUACUGCUUUGUCUAAAAAAACUUAUUUCUAUUGUUGUUUUGCAUUUUAUUUUGGCCACACUUGAUUUUUGUUCAAGGUGAAACUUGACCCAUAAUUAAUUGGCAAUAUUAUGGGCUGACACAAAAAGUUUGGAGUCAAAAAGAAAUGUGUAAGCAUUUUUAGAAAUUGAAAAAGUCAGUUAAAUGGUGUUGGAUUUUUUUAAAAGAAAAUUGAGGGCAUUUUAAUAACUCAAUUAUUGUUGGGUUAUUCAUGAAUAUUAAUUUGUGAGUAUUUGCAACCCGACGAACAUUUUUAUUUGACAGUUUGAGGAAAAGAAACUUUACCUUGAAAUUUAAAUCUGAUUUUGGCUUUGGUUUUUAUGAAGUGGCACUUAAGCUUGAAAACAUGAUGACUUGGCAAGAUUAGAGGGGAGAUUACUGUAGCAAGAGUAUCGGGGUGUUACACCAUCGUUGCGUGCGCAUGCGAGAGAGAGAGAGCGCAACAUCGGCUAGGGUUAGGUCUCCCGGCUCCCUAAGGAAGCCGAGCAAAUAUGAUUGCUUCUUACUGAUUAGAUUGAUACAUCUCCUCUUUUUAUAUAAAUAGGUUUACUUGACUCCUAAGCAAACGAUCCUUAUUUCUAAUUAACCCUAAGACUAACGGGCUAUACCAUCAACCCAGGCUCAUUAGGCCAUUACGUACUCUAACAAAGUGCAAUCUAUUUACCUGAUGCAUAUACACCUAGAUUAAAUUACACUUGAUGUCCAUAAACGCGAUCUAUGUAGCUGAUGCAUGUACGCCUAGAUUACUUUACCCCAAGUUUGAUGAUUAUUCUGUAGGUGGAGGCACACUAGCUGCUAGUCGCUGCGAGUAGACAGAGCUCCGCCCUUGUGAGUGACCAUUUUACCCUGUGAGUACAUUUUUAAACUUUUGGUAAUGAUAUGUUAGAUAUAUGUAAACCACUCCAAUCUCCAUUGCGUAAAUGAUUCUUCCGUUGGAACUACUUGUAGGUUCCGUGUUACCACUUUUUCCAUAUUUGUUGAUUGUCGUAACCAUUAUGGUAUGCUUGUACAUAUGAACCAGCUGGGUGUCAUAUUUCGUGUUGUACAUGUAAAAUUAAAACGGAAUUGAUAACGGCCGAACAACAGAUUUCUGACGUCCCGCUCCGAACGACUGUUUCAUCAUCGGAUCUGAGCACAAAUCUUAAAGCCGAAGUCCACGGCCACGUCCGACUGAGAGCAUUCGGUAAAAUGUUUUAUCAUCCCGAAUGAGUCCUCCCGGCCACACUUCUCUCUUCCCCUCCUUAUCCAUUCCUCGGCAACAUACAUCACCCAACCAGAGAGCGAGGCGGAGUCCGACCGCCGUAGAUGCUCGCCGGCGAGAAGCACCAGCCCGGUGUGCUCCGGGUCCUGCGCGACCGGCUCGAGCUGCCGUCGUGGGCGGAGGCUGAGGGCCGCGGCGGCGUCCACAGCCAUGACUCCAUCCACGCGUUCCUCUCCGUCGCCGAUCUGACCGUCGCCGUCGCCAUCCGAGGCUUCCGUCGCCGAGUUGACCGUACUCUAUGCCAACGGAGUCCGCCAUCGCCAUCGCCGAGCUGCAUUUUCUCCGCCCCGCACCUUCACACCCGCCGCGACGGCGCCACUACUAGGAAAAAGCCUACUAAUGGCGCACCUAAUUUGGCCAUUAAUGGCGCAUCAGUGGUGCGUCAUUAGUGCCACACCAUUAGUAUAUUUUACUAAUGGCGCACCACUGGAUGCGCCAUUAGUAUAUACAACAGUGCGCCAUUAGUAUGCCUCCCAGGGGGCCAUGUAUACCCAGGUGCUUUGGCAUACUAAUGGCGCACAACAACAAGAUGCGCCAUUAGUAACUUCGGCAUACUAAUGGCGCACUGUCUAAUGAUGCGCCAUUAGUAUCCUUUGGCAUACUAAUGGCGCACUGUGGUGUGAUGCGCCAUUAGUAUGAAUAUUAGGUUUAUUUUUAUUUUUUUUUAUUUUCUAUUUUUUGCACAGGUUACAAAAUGUAUAAUUGGACAAAAUAUAGACAGCACACAUCAACAACAGAUUCAUCGAAUACAAUAGAAGAUUAGUCUCUGAAUACAAUUCAUCAUAUUAGUGUCCGAAUUGAAAAGACCGAACAAAGAUAGAACAUUAUAUUACAAGUCUCAAGACCGCGAGUAGCGAGUUUGUCUUCACAUUACAAGUCGAUAUCGAUAAUCUAAACUACCAUCACAUAGAAGAGAGCUGCGGUCAUCACGAUGAGCAUCAUCACGAUGAAACUCGUCUUCAUCCGAUUCCUCCAACGCUCCCUCCCCUCUCCCGCUAGAUAGUGGGCGUAUCUAGAUUCGGCCUCGGCCCUAGUGGUGUACCCUUUGUAACUGUUACCGCUGAAUCGGUGAACCUGUCUCCGACACUCCUCCCAGUCGUCGUAGACUCCGGAAACCUUACCCUUGUACACGACAUACGUCGGCAUCGCUAUGCACUAGCCAAACGAAACGUUAGUACCAAUUCACAGACAAUACAUAAGCAAUAUAUAAAUAUGCAACAGAACGAUCGGAAGAGAAAAGCAAGACAUUAAUAGCAUCGAUUACAUCUAAGUUGAACGACUCUCGAAACCAAAGAGACAUACUACAAGUUCAUUAAAGUUUAAUUACAACAUGAGCCAAUCGAUGUUUCAGAACUAGACACAGCAUCACUGCUUUCGACUCGACUCAAGGGACCGGAGCGUGGAUGAAGCCGCCGUCUAUCGUGGGAGUCAUGAAAGAACGGGCGUUGUUAGCCUGCAUUUGUAGCAUUGUGUCGAUGUCACUGUUGGACGGUUGAUUUCUGAGGUAGAACUGCCCCGAGGUACGAAGGACAUCUUGAUGGAUGAUUUCCGCAAACUCCGACUGGAUGCGAAAGAAUUCUUGUCGGAGGUCCGCGUCCUGGAUUGCCGACACGCUCUUUGCCCAAUCUUUGAGUUUACUCGGUAGCAGAAGUUGAUGAUGGUCCCGUACGAUCGCCCGCAUGUGAUGGAUGGCGUAGUAGGCACCCUUCUGACCGCCAGGCGGCUGCUUGACGCAGUAGAACGUCGUAUUGUGGGAGAACACGUGCUUGCCGUACUUACGAAUAGGCCUGGUGAAGGUGCCCCCAGAUUUGGCGUAGCCGGGGAGAACAUCAUCAAGAACCUUAUUGACAUUUGUGUAGUCUACGUUCGACUGACGGUCCGGGUCGAAAUACGUGGCCAUGGAAUAUUUGGGGCUUAGGAGGAUGAGCGUGCAAUGUGUGUCACUGCAGAAAACACGGAAUGUUAAAAUAAAAACGAUCGAAAUCUAAGAAUUCAUAUGUUACGGGCCGGUUGAGGGGAGGACUUACUCGGGAAAGUAAGGCACGAGGAAGUUAUCCUUAUCUUGGUUUGCUAGAAUGACGCCUUCGAGGUAAGAACUCGCGACUUGCCGGUCCCCAGCGCUACCCAAGAUCUUGGCACGCAUGUAGAAGGGGUCGACUAUCACGAUGUCCGGGGUCUUGUCGUGAAUGAUCCGCAUCUCCAUACUCAGCAAAAAUAGCCGAACGAAGGUGUAGUGCAGCGGAUGAAGGUUCAUCAUAGCGUGGAUGUCAUCAAACCGCAGGACGAUCGUACGCCCGAUGGAGUUAUCCACAAAGUCCUUGCCCUCUGGCACCUUGGCCAUGAAAACCGGGUAUGCCACAUCCUUCUCUCUAAGACGUCGCUUCUCCAAAGAAAGAACACUGUCAUGCAGACUCCGCAUAGCACCGGUUGCAGCAUUGAGCAUAUUUGUCGGUAGCAUCGCCCUACCCGCCACAUGCACCCUCCUCGAGAUAUCCUCAGGUGAAGGUGGCCCGUCCUGAGCACGGAUCGUACUCGGUGCCGGCUGGCUCACACCCUUGUUAGUCUUUCUUUUGCGUGCCUUCUUCUUCUCCUGUAAUGGGACCGAGUUCUGCUCACAGACCGCCUUCUUGAGUGUGUUUGGGCUGAUAAUAUUUCGCACCUCGCCUAUCUGAGGCUCGGUAAAGUCGGCAGCUGGAGGCGUCUCCUGAGAGCUGAACGGCAGACGACGCCUGUUGCAACUUGGCUUCUCCGCGGUACCAGCUAGAUCGCGCACGUCUUUUGUUGGGUUGGGUUCUUGAGAAGGAGCCCCCAUGAAGUCGCCAUCGUACCCAUGUUCGGCAAAGUACUGAUCGACGUUGCCAAAUGUAUUGUCGUCGUAGUCGUUCUGAUCCUGUGCCAUAUGCAUGUUUGGAUCCAGUGGCAUAGGGAUGUCCGGCACCGUUGCGGCGGUCUUGCCAUGGGGCCGACUUGGCGCCGGCAUGACUGGCGGUGUUGUCUUUGGGGUGGUGUCCCCCGCCCCCAAACGAAUCUGGCUCUUCGGCCAAAGCAGGGGCCAGCUCAGGCAGGCGCUAAGGAUCAUCACGUCAUCAUCGUCGGCCCCGACGGGUCGAAUCGGAGGUAACAACUCGUCGCAGCCUGGUAGCACCCGAACCAGUUGAACCCUAAACAAGUUGGGUGGCAUCUGGGUACCAUGGAAUAAGGGAUUGCCCGGUUGAACGAUUUGGCCCUUGGCGACAUCGACCAACUCGUUGUUCACGAAGUGCAGGAGAGUGCACGGAACGUUGGCGGCGCCCUGCGAAAACAUGUAGGGCGUCAGGGAUGCCCAGUCAAAGGCAAGGAGAUGAAGUCCUCGGCCGAGAGAGGCUUAAUUAGUUACCGUGAUGAUGGCGUCGAGCUCGGCUAAUGUCGAGGCACCGCCAACGGCGGGCCUGCAGUUGACGGAGGGGCCGCUUGCUGCAGAGGUGCCGGCCGGCGUACACCCGGGUGCAUUAAGCUCCCGUGCCGGUGUCGGAGACACCAAUGCCGCCUCCGCCGGAGACACCAAUGGCCCCGCCAUCGCAUUCUGCGAGUUGCUGGCCGUGAAGCUAGGAAUCGGGGGCGGCCCCUGUUGGCCGCCCGCAAUCCACGCACUCAACCCCUGGAUCAAGGUAGGCACAAUGGCGGUGAUCGUCGCUCCGAGUCGUUGUUCCACUUGCUCUUGAACAAUCUCCGGAAUCCGCGCCACCUGUGCCUUGAGUUCUUGAACCUCGCGCGCCUGGCUUUCCGAGCUGGUCUUUUUCUCCUUCCGCACACCAGCGGUAUAGUAUGACCCCCAUUUUGUGGACAAGCCUUUGCCGGCCACAUGACCAGCUAACGUCGGCUUACUGAGCUUAUCCUUGUUCUUCAUUACAUUCAACGCCCUAUUUAGAGUGGUGUCCCAAGGGUUGCUCGUAGUCGACCCCGCGCUACUGCUUUCAGUCGCCUGCGGAAGGAAUGUGAACCAUUUAGAAAUUUGGCUUCAUUAAUUAGAAUGCAACCAUAUGAAGCUAAUUACGCGGGGGUGUAUUCCUUACCAGAACAAGCUCAAGCGCCCUGGUCUUCGGAUCCGUGGUAAGCUCCUUUGUUAUCGGGUCCUCCUUGUACCGGGCCCUGACAAAGUUCCUGGUCUGCUUGUUACCGCUGUAUUUCUCGAAGCGGGGCGGUAGGCCUUGCUCGGCACGCUCCGCGUCCUCCUUGUCCCAUAUAGGCUCCGCCACUCUGUAACCGCCGGGACCGAGUUUGUGUUCCCCUAAGUUCAGCUCCCGCAUUUCUUUCCCCCACUGACUUGAUUGGGAGUUUGCGGUGCUCGAGCAAUUGAUCUUGAAGUCAUUGUAGUCAUCUUCAGUGAUCGGAGGAUUUUUCUCCUUGAUCUUCUCAUAACUCUCACCUUUCUCGAUCAUUAUCUUCACAUUGCUUUUCCAAGUAGACAGGGCCUUGCUCAUCUUCGUGAGGGCAGCAUUGUUCACUUUAUUCCCUUUGAGGCUUGUGUUUUCAAAAGUAGCGGGGAACUUGUAUCGUUCGUGCAGCUUCGUGAAGAGGAGGUUGCGCAAAUUCCCUCGGUCAGGAUGCCUCAGGUUCUCGGUGUUGAUCGAGACGGUGCUCCGGAGAAUGCACCCGAGCUGAAGCGAGUACCCCUUGACUAUUCGUUCGGGCGCCGUUGGAUUCCCGUCGGAGUCCACUUCAGUAACUUCCUCCUUGAGGGUGCGGAGCACGGUCGGGCGCCGGUCCUUCCGUUGCCUCUUCUGUUGGCUGCCAUCUGUGCGUGUGCCGCCAUCAUCAGUGGUGGCAUCCUCGGCGGCACCAUCAGUGGUGGCAUCAAUGGGGUCAUUCUCGGCGGUACCAUCAGUGGUCUCAGGAUCGGCUACUCCAUCUGUCGAAGUCUUGCUCAUUGGCUACUCCAUCCAUUCCGAUGAUCUUCCUUUUGCCUCUCCUCACGACAACACGACUGGGCUUUGGCGGGUCGGUAAUGAAGAAGCAUUGGUCCACUUGGGAAGCCAGUACCCAUGGCUCAUUUUUCGCGGUGACGUUUGCGCCCGCGGUCUUGGAUUUGGCUUCGGGUAUAACCAUGGUGGUGAAAUAUCGGUCUUCUUUUAGGACGCUCUCGACCCAUCUGACACGGAACAUCGUCACCUUCUCUCCAGCGUAGCUCAGCUCCCAGAUCUCCUCGAUCCUUCCGUAGUAUCUGUCCUUGUCCUUACCGGUGUAGGAUUCCAUCAUUACCCCGGAGUUCUGAUAACCAUCGCUCUUCAUGUCCUUGUCCUCGGUGUAGAAUGUGUAGCCGUUGAUAUCGUACGCCUCAUAGGUCAUCAGGUUGUGCUCGGCGCCCUGUGACAAGGCGAAUAUGAGUUGUUCUUCCGCGGAAGAAUCCUCAUGUAAAGGGUACGACAGAAGCUUCUGCUUGAACCAACGCGUGAAACAUGAGUUGUGCUCUUUGAGUAUAUCUCCGUCCGUCCUCUGUUGGCCUCGGUCAUUGUACGUCUUCUCAAUAAAGGUUUUGUGCUCUACCACCCAAGGAUCGACCACGUCUAUGUGUUGUAGCGCGACUAGGUUUGCUCUUUCAAAGUCGGCGAGUCGACCCUCGAAGUCGACAUGCAUUUCGCGGCGACCCUCACGGUGACCCCAUCUAGCGAGCCUGCCGAGGUGCCUGUUGACGGGCAGACCAACGGGGUUCUCGAUGCCUAGAUAAUUCGUGCAGUAGGAGAUGCACUCUUCGGUCAGAAAGCCCCUGGCUAUACUUCCCUCUGGACGUGACAUGUUCCGAACGUAUCCUUUGAUGACACCAUUCAUCCUUUCGAACGGCAUCAUGCUGUGCAGGAACAUCGGCCCGAGUUGGAUGAUAUCCUCCACGAUAUGGACCAGCAGAUGCACCAUAACAUCGAAGAAUGCGGGCGGGAAGUACAUCUCAAGCUCGCAUAGUAUCACCACGAUCUCUUCCUGUAGCCUUCUGAGUUGCCUCACGCCAAUCGACUUUCGAGAGAUGACGUCGAAAAAGUUGCAUAGGCCAAAUAGCGUUUCACGGACGUGCGCGUCCAUGAUCCCACGGAUUGCAACUGGAAGUAUCUGCGUCAUCAGCACGUGACAGUCGUGAGACUUCAUCCCGCUGAACUUCUGCUUCGCUGGGUCUAGGUAUCUGCUUAUCUUCCCCGCGUAACCGUAAGGAAGUUUUACUCCUAGGAGGCAGGUGAAAAACUGCUCGAUCUCCUCCUGACUUAGAGUGAAGCACUCGGGAGGGUAGUCAUUUUCGGUCUUCUUGGCCUUUUUGCCUUUGCGACGACUUUCUGUGUCCUGUUUCGCCUCAUCAUGAUCAUCAUCAUCAUCAUCAUCAUUAGCGUGAAGCUCCUGCCUGAUGCCCAUUGAUUUCAAGUCUGCCCUUGCUUUCGGCCCAUCUUUGGUCCUCUCUGGCAUGUUGAGCAGGGUACCAAGCAGACUCUCGCACACGUUCUUCGUGAUAUGCAUGACAUCAAGGCUGUGAGGCACACGGUGGAUCUUCCAGUAUGGCAAGUCCCAGAAAACAGACCUCGUUUUCCAUACCUUCAGUAGCGGCUCUGGCGCCUUUCGCUUCUUUCCCGGCUCUGGCGCCUUUUGCUUCUUUCCCGGCAGUGGGCAGUCUUUCCAAUUUUUCAACAGCUUGUCUAUUUCCUCGCCGCUCCUCGUACACGGGCAUUUUCGGGGUUCGGUUUCAUCAUCGAACAGAUCCUUGCGUUUCCUCCACGGGUCAUCGUCGCGAAGCCACCUUCGAUGUCCCAUGAACACGGUUUUCGAAGACCCGGGAUCUCUAUCUAGCUGGCGAUACGUUGUGUCAUCCAUGCACCUUACGCAUCCAGAAAAUCCGUGGACUACCUGCCCAGCGAGAUAUCCAUAACCGAGAUAGUUGUGCACCAUCGUGAGCAGUGCGGCUCUCAUAGGGAAAUAUUCUUUCUCUGCAGCGUCCCAUGUAUUGGCUGGCAUUUUCCACAGCGUGUCAAGCUCCUCUUUCAGGAGCCCCAGAUACAGAUUGAUGUCGUUCCCUGGUUGUUUCAGCCCUUCAAUUAGCAUACUCAUGUGAAUGUACUUCCUCUUCAUGCACAACCAGGGGGGAAGGUUGUACAUCCACACAAACACAGGCCAGGUGCUAUGUGUGCUUCUCUGGCUGCCAAACGGAUUGACUCCAUCGGUGCUCGCGCCCAGCACAAUGUUCCUUGGAUCGUUCCCAAAUUCUGGGUAUUCGAAGUUCAACGCUUGCCACUGGCUCGCAUCCUUAGGGUGACUCAGCAUCUUGUCUUUUUAUCUAUCUCCGGAUCAUUUGCGUCAUCUUCUCGCUUCUUCUCCUCCCUAUCCGCGUGCCAACGCAGGAGCUUUGGUACCUUAGGGUCCGCGAAAUACCGCUGCAGACGAGGAGUGAUCGAAAAGUACCACACCACUUUUCGAGGAAUUUCUUCCUCUUCUUGUAUCGAGUGACGCCGCACACCGGACAUAUGGUAGACUCCGCGUGCUCGUCCCGAUAAAUGAUGCAAUUGUUCAUGCACACAUGGUAUUUCACAUGCGGUAAAUCGAGAGGACACAUGAUUUUCUUCGCCUCCUCCAAACUGGUUGGGCACUUGUUCCCCUUGGGAAGACGUUCGUGCCAGAAUGACAUGUUCUCGUCGAAGCAUGCGUCGGUCAUUUUGUGUUUUACCUUCAUCUUCAGAGCCAUGAGCGUUACUUUCAGGCGGGUAUCCUCGGGCCUGCAUCCUUCAUACAAUGGAGUAACCGCGUCUAACUCAAGUUGAUCCAUCUUGGCUUUCUCUCGGGCGGCAGCUCUUGCGUUAUCCGUCUGCUUAAGAAGCAGCUCUUGAAUAUGAGGGUCCUGCACCCAGCCCAUCGAUGGUCCAACGUCGUCUGCUCCGCCGGCAUCAUCAUCUUCAUGAUCAUGCCCGUCGUCUGCUUUGGCAUCUUCCUCAUCAUCAUGUCCUGCAUCUUCUACAUGAUGACUGUGUACAGCAUCACCGUCGUGAUCAUCUCCUGGGGAUUCUUCGUCUUCUCGCCCGCCCGAGCCGCGGUGGUUGUCUUGCUGCCCUUCCUCAUUUCUUGCCCGGCCCCCAUGGAUGACUUCGUAGUCAUCUUCAUCACCUUGCCACCGAUAGCCAUCCAUGAAACCACGCAAGAGCAGGUGGUCCCGCACCUGCCCGGAAUCCGGGUCCGCAAUAAGGCUCUUCAGCUUGCAUCUUCGACACGGACAUCUUAUCUCCGUCUCGUUCUUUUGAAGCAUCUCGGCCUUCGCGGACCUCAAAAACCUAUUCACGAUGCCUUCGGUCAUCGUGUGGACCAUGGUCGCCUGCGGGGUAGAGCAAAACGAUAUUUUAGAACCAAGAAAAAAUUUGGCAUAAUUUUCCCUAAAAAUAGGACCAAAAAGAAUGCUUAAUGCUAAAAUUCUUGCCGAAACGGAAAUGAAUCAACAUUCCGGCAAAAUAUUGGCAACUAUCGCAUUUCAAAUACCGGUACACCUCCAAACACAAACACAUAUGCAAUACCACAAACAUAUGCAACACCACGAACAUACAUAGAUCUAGCUAGGCCAUAAAAAGUGCAUGUGCACAUUGUUGUAGGGAGAACAACAUAAAUAUAGCUUCCCCCCUUACUUACCUAUCAAAACAAGGUAAUUUAACCACUUAAUUUGAAUGAAUCUAUGGUGGAAAUGAGGUGAAAAAGAGGAGGCACCCGAGACAAGGAGGAGACGGUGGAGAGAAUGAAGUGGGGGGAAAGUGAGUGUGGGUAGGAGAGGCUGUCCAAAAUAUCUUGUUGCUGCCCACUUACUAAUGGCGCACCAACCACAAAUGCGCCAUUAGUAAUCCAGGUUACUAAUGGCGCACCUUCUGGUGGUGCGCCAUUAGUAGUUUUGCAAAAAAAAAGAAAAAAACAUACUAAUGGCGCACUGCUCCAGAGUGCGCCAUUAGUAGUUUUGCAAAAAAAGGAAUAAAAAAUAUAAUAAAAAAAACAACAUUAGUGGUGCACUUUCCGACAGGUGCGCCAUUACUCGUUACAACUAGUAAUGGCGCACUUCGUCUGGAUGCGCCAUUAGUAUGUUUGGACAGGCGCACUAGUUCAAAAUUUUUUUUGAUACUAAUGGCGCACCUUGGGCCAGGUGCGCCAUUAGUAGUUUCAACACUAAUGGCGUAGCAGAAGGUGGUGCGCCAUUAGUAUAUACUAAUGGCGCACCGCCUGUCUGGUGCGCCAUUAGUGUCAAUCCCAUCUAUAGCCCUUUUUCUAGUAGUGUGCGACCCUUUUUCUAGUAGUGUGCGCCAUUAGUGUCGCCCCUCUCCUCGGUGCCCACCAUGGCCGUGUCUUCUCUGAGCACGACGUCCAUGGGCGACGGGACCCUGCUCCUCGUCCUCCCCGGCUUAUCGUACACCGGGGAACUCGUACGCUGCGCGUUCGCCCGGAGGCAACGACGCCAUCCUGCGUCACGGCGCCCUCCACGACCACGUCUUCUCCUAGCACGGCGACCAGGUGCUGCCCAUGGCUGACGCGACCAUCCUCCUUGUCUUCUUCAGCUAGUCGGGCGCCCAGGAACUCGUCCGCUGCACAUGACCUAUCAGUUGAAGGAGAGGUUCAGUUUUUAUGUCACUAGCUCAGCACUGAUGAUGAUUCACCUUGUUUAGCUCAAUCCAUAUGAUGCAUUUUUUGUAUGAUUCAUUUUCCCAAUCAUUCAUGGAUUGCAGGAACUUUUUUACUUUGAUGUGAUGCUAAUUGACCAAUUUUCCAUGGCAAUUUUUAGAAAUUAUAGUUGUUAGCAAGUCAAAAUAUGUUUUUGCCAUGUAAACACAAAAUAUGUUGCCAUGUCGCUUCAACUUUUGCUGCCAUCCAAAAUCUAAAUUAUUUCUUACCAUGGCAAAACAUCAUAAUAUGUUGCCAUGUCGAAAUCAUGUUUCCGUUGCCAUGGCAAGAAAACAUAAUAUGUUUUGCCUUAUUUCUAAAGCUACUUGUACUAUUUCCAUGCCAAUUUAUAGAUGUUAUUCUCAAUAAACCGUGGAAAUUCUUUUGUAAAAAUGCCAUGACAAUUUUUAUAAAUUCGACAUGGCAAUUUUCUGAAAUUAAUGUUAGCUAGAACUUGGCAGCUUGUUUGAUUUUUUUGCUUUUUGUAUUGUUCCAGCAAUCACAAUUUGGAAAACAACUUUGUUUUACAACACGGAAAGAGUGUAUGUCAGUAGCUUUUCAAUUAGCUCAUCUUUCUUCUGCUUGUAUGCAUGACAACAGCUCCUUGAACCAAACAAUUUGGCAUUCGCAUUCUUUUAUGGAGACCGUAUGUGUUUAUUAAAUAGUUUCACCAUGGCAAAGAUAGAGUACAUUUUGUCAUGGCAAAUCAAACCAAAAUUUGCCAUGUGCAUAAAAGUAUUUUUGCCAUGGAAGAACAGCGUACAUUUUGCCAUGGCAAAAAAUAGAGUAAAAUUUGCCAUGGCAGAUCAAGUUAAAAUUUGCCAUGUGAAAUAAAAGUGUUGUUUUGCCAUGGAAAAAAUAGAGUAAAUUUUGCCAUGGCAAAUUAAACUAAAACUUGCCAUGUUAAUAAAAGUAUUUUUUGCCAUGGCAAAGAUUCUUUUUUACCAUGUGAAUAAAAGUAUGUUUUUGCCAUGGCAAAAAUAGAGUAAAUUUUGCCAUGGCAAAUUAAACUAAAAUUUUCCAUGAUAAAUUAAACUAAAAUUUGCAAUGGCAAAAUAGAGUAAAUUUAAACUAAAAUUUGCCAUGUGAAAAAAAGUAUUUUUUCCAUGGCAAAAUUAGAGUAAUUUUUGGCAUGGCAAAUUAAUCUAAAAUUUUCCAUGUGAAUAAAAGUAUUUUUCUCCUAUAAUUUUCACCAUGGCAAAAAUAGAGUAAAUUUUGCCAUGGCAAAUUAAACUAAAAUUUACCAUGCGAAUAUAAGUGUUUUUGCGAUGGAAAAAAUAGAGUAAUUUUUGCCAUGGUAAAUUAAACUAAAAGUUUUCAUUUGAAUAAAAGUAUUUUUUUCUAUGGCAAAUUAAACUAAAAUUUGCCAUGUGAAUAAAAAGUAUUUUUGCCAUGGCAAAAAUAGAUAAUUUUUGCCAUGGCAAAUUGAACUAAAAGUUGCCAUGAGAAUAAAAGUAUUUUUUGCCAUGAAAAAAAUAGAGUAAAUUUUGCCAUGGCAAAUUAAACUAAUUUUUUCCAUGUGAAUAAAAGCAUUUUUGUCAUGAAAGAGUAGUGUAAAUUUUGCCAUGGCAUUUUUCUAUUUUUGAUUUGCUAGUUUAUGUGUAAUUGCUAGCUUUUUAAUCCCUGGGGUCUCUGUGUGCUUACGCUGGGCCUUUUUUUGGCCCAUUUUCUCUAACCUGGACCUAUCGACAAGGUUGCUCGUGAAGGGAUUCUCAAAAAAAGAAAAAAGGUUUCUCGUGAAGGAGGGGUUCGGGCUGGAGUGUUUCCGCAUCGAACGAUUCUAUUCUGUAGAUCGCCCUCCCAGAUCGAAUGUUUCGUUCGGUCUGGCACCUGCCCAGACCGAACGUUCGGCCCUUAUCGAGGUCCAAUUAAAAUUACCUUUGCAUGUAUAAACUAGCUAGGCAUAUCCAGAAAGUACGAGAAACUUAAUUAAGGCUUAGGCGCAUAUGCUAAUGAUCUAAUAUUGCCAAAAAAAACGACCAGAAGGGUGCGGGGGUUCGGAUGAGCUCCCGCGACUAGGCGACUAGGGUUCCCCUUCCCCACCUCCCGCCGCCGCCGGCCCUUCCGCCGCCGGCCGCCGGCCCGCGCCCCACCUCCGGCCCCUUCCUUCCUCCCCUCUCCCCCGUCCGGACCCGCCUCGCGCCGCCUCCCCGGGAGGUGGCCGGGGCGGCGCUCGUGCCCCUCUUCCGCGGGCCCCCUCCUUCCCUUUUUCCUCUCGCUGCCGCCGGCGGUCACCCCCGGCGCUGGCCCGGGUGGCUCUGGCGGCGGCGGGCCUUCCCUUUCCUGCGCGCGCGUGCUCCCUUCCCGGGGAAGGGAGGCAGCGGCGGUGCUGCUCGGCGUGGCUGCGGUCCGGCUGCCCUGCGGCGGCGGCCGACGGUAGGCGUGGUGUGGGCGUCGCUCCUUGGCGGCGGGGCGACGUGGUGGUGCUGGGUGGCCUCGUCGAGACCCUGGCCCAGAUUUGGACCGGACGGGCCCCAUCUGGGUCCUAGCGGGCCGGCUCCCCGGCGUGGCCUUGUUGUCUGCGGCACGGUGAGGAGGAGGAGCAGCUCGAAUAUGGGGCGUCGGCGUCGACGGCGUGCCGGCAGCAGCGCGAAGGCGGGAGCUUUACGGGCCCACGAGGGCUCGACCGGGCCUGUGCGACCAUGGGCCUGGUGUGCUCCUGCUAUUGCCUCCGGACGGCUACCGUCGCGGACGAUGGAGGUGGGGCCCUCCCGCGUGCCGACUGUAGGGGAACGUUGCAGAAAAUUAAAAUUUUUCCUACGGUUUCACCAAGAUCCAUCUAUGAGUUCAUCUAAGCAACGAGUCUAGGGAGAGAGUUUGCAUCUACAUACCACUUGUAGAUCGCGUGCGGAAGCUUGCAAGGUGAUGAUGUAGUCGUACUCGACGUGAUUCGAAUCAACGAUGACCAAGUGCUGAACGGACAGCACCUCCGCAUUCAACACACGUACGGGACGGGAGACGUCUCCUCCUUCUUGAUCCAGCAAGGGGGAAGGAGAGGUUGAGGAAGACAGCUCCACCGGCAGCACGACGGCAUGGUGAUGGUGGAGAGGCAGUACUCCGACAGGGCUUCGCCAAGCACACAACGGAGGAGGAGAGGUGUUGGGGAGGGGAGGGCUGCGCCUUGGAGGGUGGUGCGGCUGCCCUCCCCUCACCCCUCUAUUUAUAGGGGGAAGGGAGAAGGGGGCCGGCCCCCUAGAACCCAUCUAGGGGGNNNNNNNNNNNNNNNNNNNNNNNNNNNNNNNNNNNNNNNNNNNNNNNNNNNNNNNNNNNNNNNNNNNNNNNNNNNNNNNNNNNNNNNNNNNNNNNNNNNNNNNNNNNNNNNNNNNNNNNNNNNNNNNNNNNNNNNNNNNNNNNNNNNNNNNNNNNNNNNNNNNNGGCCUAGGGGAGAGGGGAGAGGGUGGCUUGCCCCCCAAGCCAAGGGGGCGCCCCCUCUAGGGUUCCCCCCUCAACCCUAGGCGCAUGGGCUCAAGGGAGGGGGUGCGGACAGCCCACCAGGGGCUGGCUCCCUGCCCCACACAGCCCAUGUGGCCCCCCGGGAGGGGUGGCCCCUCCCGGUGGACCCCCGAAACCCUUCCGGUGGCCCCGGUACAAUACCGGUAUGACCCCGAAACUUCCCGGUGUCCGUUUGACAAUUUCCCAUAUAUAAAUCUUUACCUCCGGACCCUUCCGGAUCUCCUCGUGACGUCCAGGAUCCCAUCUGGGACUCCGAACAACAUUCGAUAGUCACAUACUAGUCUUCCUAAUAACCCUAGCGUCACCGAACCUUAAGUGUGUAGACCCUACGGGUUCGGGAGACAUGCAGACAUGACCGAGACGCUCUCAGUCAAUAACCAACAGCGGGAUCUGGAUACCCAUGAUGGCUCCCACAUGCUCCUCAAUGUUGUCAUCGGAUGAACCACGAUGUCAAGGAUUCGAUCAAACCCUGUAUGCAAUUCCCUUUGUCAAUCGGUACGUUACUUGCCCGAGACUCGAUCGUCGGUAUCCCAAUACCUUGUUCAGUCUCGUUACCGGCAAGUCACUUUACUCGUACCAUAAUGCAUGAUCCCGUGUCCAACACCUUUGUCACAUUGAGCUCAUUAUGAUGAUGCAUUACCGAGUGGGCCCAGAAAUACCUCUCCGUCAUACGGAGUGACAAAUCCCAGUCUCGAUCCGUGUCAACCCAACAGAUACUUUCGGAGAUACCUGGAAUGCACCUUUAUAGUCACCCAGUUACGUUGUGACGUUUGAUACACCCAAGGCACUCUUACGGUAUCCGGGAGUUACACGAUCUCAUGGUCGAAGGAAGAGAUACUUGACACUGGCAAAGCUCUAGCAAAACGAACUACACGAUCUUUUAUGCUAUGCUUAGGAUUGGGUCUUGUCCAUCACAUCAUUCUCCUAAUGAUGUGAUCCCGUUAUCAACGACAUCCAAUGUCCAUAGUCAGGAAACCAUGACUAUCUGUUGAUCACAACGAGCUAGUCAACUAGAGGCUCACCAGGGACAUAUUGUGGUCUAAGUAUUCACAUGUGUAUUACGAUUUCCGGAUAAUACAGUUAUAGCAUGAAUAAAAGACAUUUAUCAUGAACAUUAAAAUAUAAUAAUACUUUUAUUAUUGCCUCUAGGGCAUAUUUCCAACAGUCUCCCACUUGCACUAGAGUCACCAAUCUAGUUACAUUGUGAUGAAUCGAACACCCAUAGAGUUCUGGUGUUGAUCAUGUUUUGCACGCGAGGGAGGUUUAGUCAGCGGAUCUGCGACAUUCAGAUCCGUGUGCACUUUGCAAAUCUCUAUGUCUCCAUCUUGAACAUUUUCACGGAUGGAGUUGAAACGACGCUUGAUGUGCCUGGUCUUCUUGUGAAACCUGGGCUCCUUGGCGAGGGCAAUAGCUCCAGUGUUGUCACAGAAGAGUUUGAUCGGCCCCGACGCAUUGGGUAUGACUCCUAGGUCGGUGAUGAACUCCUUCACCCAAAUCGCUUCAUGCGCUGCCUCCGAGGCUGCCAUGUACUCCGCUUCACACGUAGAUCCCGCCACGACGCUCUGCUUGCAGCUGCACCAGCUUACUGCUCCACCAUUCAACAUAUACAUGUAUCCGGUUUGUGACUUAGAGUCAUCCAGAUCUGAGUCGAAGCUAGCGUCGACGUAACCCUUUACGACGAGCUCUUCGUCUCUUCCAUAAACGAGAAACAUGUCCUUCGUCCUUCUCAGGUACUUCAGGAUAUUCUUGACCGCUGUCCAGUGUUCCUUGCCGGGAUUACUUUGGUAUCUUGCUACCAAACUUACGGCAAGGUUUACAUCGGGUCUGGUACACAGCAUGGCAUACAUAAUAGAUCCUAUGGCUGAAGCAUAGGGGAUGACACUCAUCUCUUCUUUAUCUUUUGCCGUGGUCGGUGACUGAGCCGAGCUCAAUCUCACACCUUGUAACAUAGGCAAGAACCCCUUCUUGGACUGAUCCAUUUUGAACCUCUUCAAAAUCUUAUCAAGGUAUGUGCUUUGUGAAAGACCUAUGAGGCGUCUCGAUCUAUCUCUAUAGAUCUUGAUGCCUAAUAUAUAAGCAGCUUCUCCAAGGUCCUUCAUUGAAAAACACUUAUUCAAGUAGGCCUUAAUGCUGUCCAGAAAUUCUAUAUUAUUUCCCAUCAAGAGUAUGUCAUCUACAUAUAAUAUGAGAAAUGCUAUAGAGCUCCCACUCACUUUCUUGUAAACGCAGGCUUCUCCAUAAGUCUGCAUAAACCCAAACGCUUUGAUCAUCUCAUCAAAGCGAAUGUUCCAACUCCGAGAUGCUUGCACCAGUCCAUAAAUGGAUCGCUGGAGCUUGCAUACUUUGUUAGCGUUCCGAGGAUCGACAAAACCUUCCGGCUGCAUCAUAUACAGUUCUUCCUUAAGAUGCCCGUUAAGGAAUGCCGUUUUGACGUCCAUUUGCCAUAUCUCAUAAUCAUAGUAUGCGGCAAUUGCUAACAUGAUUCGGACGGACUUCAGCUUUGCUACGGGAGAGAAAGUCUCGUCGUAGUCAAUCCCUUGAACUUGUCGAUAACCCUUAGCGACAAGUCGAGCCUUAUAGAUUGUAACAUUACCAUCCGCGUCCGUCUUUUUAUUAAAGAUCCAUUUGUUUUCUAUCGCUCGCCGAUCAUCGGGCAAGUCUAUCAAAGUCCAUACUUUGUUUUCAUACAUGGAUUCUAUCUCGGAUUUCAUGGCUUCAAGCCAUUUGUUGGAAUCCGGGCCCGCCAUCGCUUCUUCAUAGUUCGAAGGUUCAUUGUUGUCUAACAACAUGAUUUCCAGGACAGGGUUGCCGUACCACUCUGGUGCGGAACGUGUCCUUGUGGACCUACGAAGUUCAGCAGUAACUUGAUCCAAAGUACCUUGAUCAUCAUCAUUGUUUUCCUCUUCAGUUGGUGUGGGCAUCACAGGAACGGUUUCCUGCGCUGCGCCACUUUCCCGCUCAAGAGGUAGUACUUCAUCGAGUUCUACUUUCCUCCAACUUACUUCUUUCGAGAGAAACUCUUUUUCCAGAAAGCAUCCGUUCUUGGCAACAAAGAUCUUGCCUUCGGAUCUUAUGUAGAAGGUAUACCCGACAGUUUCCUUAGGGUAUCCUAUGAAUACGCAUUUUUCCGACUUGGGUUCGAGCUUUUCAGGUUGAAGUUUCUUGACAUAAGCAUCGCAUCCCCAAACUUUUAGAAACGACAGCUUAGGUUUCUUUCCAAACCAUAAUUCAUACGGUGUCGUCUCAACGGAUUUAGACGGUGCCCUAUUUAAAGUGAAUGUAGCUGUCUCUAGAGCGUAUCCCCAAAAUGAUAGCGGUAAAUCGGUAAGAGACAUCAUAGACCGCACCAUAUCCAAUAGGGUGCGAUUACGACGUUCGGACACACCGUUUCGCUGAGGUGUUCCAGGCGGCGUGAGCUGUGAAACGAUUCCACAUUUCCUUAAGUGUGUACCAAAUUCGUGACUUAAGUAUUCUCCUCCACGAUCUGAUCGUAAGAAUUUUAUCUUUCGGUCACGUUGAUUCUCUACCUCAUUCCGAAAUUCCUUGAACUUUUCAAAGGUCUCAGACUUGUGUUUCAUUAAGUAGACAUACCCAUAUCUACUCAAGUCAUCUGUGAGAGUGAGAACAUAACGAUAUCCUCCGCGAGCCUCAACGCUCAUUGGACCGCACACAUCGGUAUGUAUGAUUUCCAACAAGUUGGUUGCUCGCUCCAUUGUUCCGGAGAACGGAGUCUUGGUCAUUUUGCCCAAAAGGCAUGGUUCGCACGUGUCAAACGAUUCAUAAUCAAGAGACUCUAAAAGUCCAUCGGCAUGGAGCUUCUUCAUGCGCUUGACACCAAUGUGACCAAGGCGGCAGUGCCACAAGUAUGUGGGACUAUCGUUAUCAACUUUAAAUCUUUUGGCAUCUACACUAUGAACAUGUGUAAUAUUACGCUCGAGAUUCAUUAAGAAUAAACCAUUGACCAUCGGAGCAUGACCAUAAAACAUAUCUCUCAUAUAAAUCGAACAACCAUUAUUCUCAGACUUAAAUGAGUAGCCAUCUCGUAUUAAACGAGAUCCAGAUACAAUGUUCAUGCUCAAACUUGGCACUAAAUAACAAUUAUUGAAGUUCAAAACUAAUCCCGUAGGUAAAUGUAGAGGCAGCGUGCCGACGGCGAUCACAUCGACUCUGGAACCAUUCCCGACGCGCAUCGUCACCUCGUCCUUUGCCAGUCUCCGUUUAUUCCGCAGCUCCUGCUGUGAGUUACAAAUAUGAGCAACGGCACCGGUAUCAAAUACCCAGGAGUUACUACGAUUACUGGUAAGGUACACAUCAAUCACAUGUAUAUCAAAUAUACCUUUGGUGUUGCCGGCCUUCUUAUCCGCUAAGUAUUUGGGGCAGUUCCGCUUCCAGUGACCCUUCCCCUUGCAAUAAAAGCACUCAGUCUCAGGCUUGGGUCCAUUCUUUGACUUCUUCCCGGUAACUGGCUUACCAGGCGCGGCAACAUCUUUGCCGUCCUUCUUGAAGUUCUUCUUACCCUUGCCCUUCUUGAACUUAGUGGUCUUAUUGACCAUCAACACUUGAUGUUCUUUCUUGAUUUCAGCCUCUGCUGACUUCAGCAUCGAGAACACUUCAGGAAUGGUCUUUUCCAUCCCCUGCAUGUUGUAGUUCAUCACAAAGCUCUUGUAGCUUGGUGGGAGCGACUGGAGGAUUCUGUCAAUGACCGCCUCAUCUGGGAGGUUAAUGUUCAGCUGGGUCAUACAGUUGUGCAACCCAGACAUCUUCAGGAUGUGCUCACUGACAGAACUGUUCUCCUCCAUCUUACAACUGUAGAACUUGUCGGAGACAUCAUAUCUCUCGACCCGGGCAUGAGCUUGAAAAACUAGUUUCAGCUCUUCGAACAUCUCAUAUGCUCCGUGGUGCUCAAAACGCUUUUGGAGCCCCGGUUCUAAACUGUAAAGCAUGCCGCACUGAACGAGGGAGUAAUCAUCAGCACGAGACUGCCAAGCAUUCAUAAUGUCUUGGUUCUCUGGGACGGGAGCGUCACCUAGCGGUCCUUCUAGGACAUAUUGUUUCCUGGCAGCUAUGAGGAUGAUCCUCAGGUUCCGGACCCAGUCCGUAUAGUUGCUGCCAUCAUCUUUCAGUUUGGUUUUCUCUAGGAACGCGUUGAAGUUCAUGUUGACAUUAGCGUUGGCCAUUGAUCUACAAGACAUAUUUGCAAAGGUUUUAGACUAAGUUCAUGAUAAUAAAGUUCUAAUCAAAUUAUGAACUCCCACUUAGAUUAGACAUCCCUCUAGUCAUCUAAGUGUUACACGAUCCGAGUCGACUAGCCCGUGUCCGAUCAUCACGUGAGACGGACUAGUCAUCAUCGGUGAACAUUCUCAUGUUGAUCGUAUCUUCCAUACGACUCGUGUUCGACCUUUCGGUCUCCGUGUUCCGAGGCCAUGUCUGCACAUGCUAGGCUCGUCAAGUUAACCCUAAGUGUUUUCGCUGUGUAAAACUGUCUUACACCCGUUGUAUGUGAACGUAAGAAUCCAUCACACCCGAUCAUCACGUGGUGCUUAGAAGCGACGAACUGUAGCAACGGUGCACAGUUAGGGGAGAACACUUCUUGAAAUUUUUGUAAGGGAUCAUCUUAUUUACUACCGUCGUCCUAAGUAAACAAGAUGCAUAAACAUAAUAAACAUCACAUGCAAUUAUAUAGUUGUGACAUGAUAUGGCCAAUAUCAUAUAGCUCCAUUGAUCUUCAUCUUCGGGGCUCCAUGAUCAUCUUGUCACCGGCUUGACACCAUGGUCUCCAUCAUCAUGAUCUCCAUCAUUGUGUCUUCAUGAAGUUGUCACGCCAACGACUACUUCUACUUCUAUGACUAACGUUUAGCAAUAAAGUAAAGUAGUUUACAUGGCGUUAUUCAAUGACACGCAGGUCAUACAAAAAAUAAAGACAACUCCUAUGGCUCCUGCGGGUUGUCAUACUCAUCGACAUGCAAGUCGUGAAUCCUAUUACAAAGAACAUGAUCUCAUACAUCACAAUUCAUCAUUCAUCACAACUUCUGGCCAUAUCACAUCACAUGAUCAAUCGCUGCAAAAACAAGUUAGACGUCCUCUAAUUGUUGUUGCAUCUUUUACGUGGCUGCAAUUGGGUUCUAGCAAGAACGUUUUCUUACCUACGAAUCACCACAACGUGAUUUUGUCAACUUCUAUUUACCCUUCAUAAGGGCCCUGUUCAUCGAUUCCGCUCCAACUAAAGUGGGAGAGACAGACACCCGCCAGCCACCUUAUGCAACUAGUGCAUGUCAGUCGGUGGAACCGGUCUCACGUAAGCGUACGUGUAAGGUUGGUCCGGGCCGCUUCAUCCCACAAUACCGUUUGAGCAAGAAAAGACUAGUAGAGGCAAGUAAGAUGACAAAAUCCACGCCCACAACAAAAUUGUGUUCUACUCGUGCAAAGAGAACUACGCAUAGACCUAGCUCAUGAUGCCACUGUUGGGGAACGUUGCAGAAAAUUAAAAUUUUUCCUACGGUUUCACCAAGAUCCAUCUAUGAGUUCAUCUAAGCAACGAGUCAAGGGAGAGAGUUAGCAUCUACAUACCACUUGUAGAUCGCGUGCGGAAGCUUGCAAGGUGAUGAUGUAGUCGUACUCGACGUGAUUCGAAUCACCGAUGACCAAGUGCUGAACGGACAGCACCUCCGCGUUCAACACACGUACGGGACGGGAGACGUCUCCUCCUUCUUGAUCCAGCAAGGGGGAAGGAGAGGUUGAGGAAGACAGCUCCACCGGCAGCACGACGGCGUGGUGAUGGUGGAGAGGCAGUACUCCGACAGGGCUUCGCCAAGCACACAACGGAGGAGGAGAGGUGUUGGGGAGGGGAGGGCUGCGCCUUGGAGGGUGGUGCGGCUGCCCUCCCCUCACCCCUCUAUUUAUAGGGGGAAGGGAGAAGGGGGCCGCCCCCCUAGAACCCAUCUAGGGGGGGUGCGGCGGCCUAGGGGAGAGGGGAGAGGGUGGCUUGCCCCCCAAGCCAAGGGGGCGCCCCCUCUAGGGUUCCCCCCUCAACCCUAGGCGCAUGGGCUCAAGGGAGGGGGUGCGGCCAGCCCACCAGGGGCUGGCUCCCUGCCCCACGCAGCCCAUGUGGCCCCCCGGGAGGGGUGGCCCCUCCCGGUGGACCCCCGGAACCCUUCCGGUGGCCCCGGUACAAUACCGGUAUGACCCCGAAACUUCCCGGUGUCCGUUUGACAACUUCCCAUAUAUAAAUCUUUACCUCCGGACCCUUCCGGAUCUCCUCGUGACAUCCAAGAUCCCAUCCGGGACUCCGAACAACAUUCGGUAGUCACAUACUAGUCUUCCUAAUAACCCUAGCGUCACCGAACCUUAAGUGUGUAGACCCUACGGGUUCGGGAGACAUGCAGACAUGACCGAUACGCUCUCAGUCAAUAACCAACAGCGGGAUCUGGAUACCCAUGAUGGCUCCCACAUGCUCCUCGAUGUUGUCAUCGGAUGAACCACGAUGUCGAGGAUUCGAUCAAACCCUGUAUGCAAUUCCCUUUGUCAAUCGGUACGUUACUUGCCCGAGACUCGAUCGUCGGUAUCCCAAUACCUUGUUCAGUCUCGUUACCGGCAAGUCACUUUACUCGUACCGUAAUGCAUGAUCCCGUGUCCAACACCUUGGUCACAUUGAGCUCAUUAUGAUGAUGCAUUACCGAGUGGGCCCAGAGAUACCUCUCCGUCAUACGGAGUGACAAAUCCCAGUCUCGACCCGUGUCAACCCAACAGAUACUUUCGGAGAUACCUGUAAUGCACCUUUAUAGUCACCCAGUUACGUUGUGACGUUUGAUACACCCAAGGCACUCUUACGGUAUCCGGGAGUUACACGAUCUCAUGGUCGAAGGAAGAGAUACUUGACACUGGCAAAGCUCUAGCAAAACGAACUACACGAUCUUUUAUGCUAUGCUUAGGAUUGGGUCUUGUCCAUCACAUCAUUCUCCUAAUGAUGUGAUCCCGUUAUCAACGACAUCCAAUGUCCAUAGUCAGGAAACCAUGACUAUCUGUUGAUCACAACGAGCUAGUCAACUAGAGGCUCACCAGGGACAUAUUGUGGUCUAAGUAUUCACACGUGUAUUACGAUUUCCGGAUAAUACAGUUAUAGCAUGAAUAAAAGACAUUUAUCAUGAACAUUGAAAUAUAAUAAUACUUUUAUUAUUGCCUCUAGGGCAUAUUUCCAACACCGACGAUGUUGAUGCCCUAGUCCCGGCUCUGAUUCUUCGCCACGCUGUCCUCACUCCGCGGUGCCGUGGUGAGACGACGUGGGGGCCUCAUGUCCGCGUUGGCGCAGGGUAGUGGUCGGUCUGGUGGCUGGAUCCGGAGCUCCCGAGGUGCGGGUUGGGAUCGGGGGAAACCCCUGUCGCCUUGUCCGAUACCGGCGCGGUGACGCUUGUGGGCGCCACCUGACCUUCCGGGAGGGCGUCGGGGGCUAUCCUUCCUCUCGCCUCGUCGUGUACCGGGGAAAAUCCUUGGCAGUAGCGUCGUCAUCGUCGCGAUCCUUCUUGGAGGUGUUGAUAGGUGCCGGCGCUCCGGAGUCUUGGAGCCUAGUGGAAAAUGCUGGUGGGCGCAGUGGUCGCGAGGCUUCUUCGUUUUUGUUGAUCCGCCAUUAUCGGCAUUUGUUUCUUUGUUCUUUCUCUGUCUUUUCUUUUGGGCGUGACUGUGCUGCUUCCGCCCCAGCCCCUAUCCCUGUAUGGUUCGGUUGGUUGCUUUAUAUACAAAGCGGGGGGAAAUCUUUUUCGGCAAUAUUGCCAAAUCGACCAAAAGGGUCACCCAAAUGAUGGGGAAAGGGGGUCAAGAACUGAUGCCUCUUCUCAUCAGCAGCCAUUUUAACAUUAUAAAAACACCCACACAUAGUAGAUACGGCAAAACCUAACAUAUUACACACAAUCGAGGCAUAUACAUAGCAAUGCAUGUCUUGUCAUACAGAAAAGUUUGGAGCAGAUGGAGAGAUAAUGGUUACAACCUAGCUACAUAGCAGGUUUGAAGGAUCGGGUACAAGCUGGUACACUGCAAGCUAUAAGCUGCAGUGAGCUAGCAGCGACACAUGCAUGCACGCACAUGACAAAAUAGUAGGUUACUACUAGUGGCUGGGCCAUGGCCAUUGUCUUUUCCUCCUUCCACUACCAGACAUGUCGACGGUCUUCAGCUAUCAAUCUGCUUCCAAAGUCCCAGUCAACACUAGUAUGCAUCGAUCUCUCAGCCCCCAACUGUGUUGCCACUUGCCAGCACACUGCAUCGUGGACGCAUAUAACCUUCGUCUCCACAAAUAGGAGCUGAAUCAAAUUCACACUAGUGGUAGAUGUAGGUUGCACGUACACUGGUUCACAGAUCAACUAGUAACUAAAUUGACCGAAGAAAAAACUGAACAGUAGAAAGACUACUGGAAACAGCACACACAAGACGCUCACAAGCAAACUCUUAUUGGUUGGAGAUAUAUGUAGAUGGUAGCUAAUGGUAGCUAUAGGUUGAUCCAUAGGCUUGUUGCAUGCGCCAUGCAUGCAAGAGAAGAAGGGUUGGGCUGAUUGUUUCCGUCAGCGGCGGCGUGCCGCUGUCUCCCGCUGCGCGUUGAAGUAGACGGCAGCGACCGGGAGGCCAAGGUCGUUCUCGUCAGCGAAGCGGCGCGUGUUGAAGUAGUCCCUGGUGGAGGGAGGGUUCAUGGACUGCCGCUUCUUCUGUUGGAACAGCACGAAGGUGAACCUGUGAAUGCCAAUGUUGGGCUUGGGGCUCUCGUAGCUCACCACCUCCCUUCCUGCAUGCAUUCAUGUGUUUAUUCAGAGAAAUUAAGGAUGGGGCCAAUCAGCAAAAGCUAAAGCAAGUCAUGCAUGAAAAGGACUUACCAAAAGAAGCAUCUGUGGUGCCAGGAAUAUCAUUGACGAUCCUGCAUACACAAGUCAGAAUCUGAUCAAGCAUGUUUUUAUGCAUAGCUGGUCAUAUAAAUCUGACUGUUUAUAUUCACUAAACAAAAACUGUCAAGUUUUAUGUCCAUAGGAAAGCUCCUAAUUGAUCACCAGAUAAAUUAAUUUGGUCUUAAACAUGUAGCUCACUUGGACUGAUAUGUAUGUCUUUCACGUUAUAGAGAUUUUUCCAUGUUAUGCUGAGCUUAUUGGUCUUUAUAGUCAUGAUCAGGCUUUUUGAUUGCUCGAGUACUGUAAACUAGCUUGGGUUAGUAAUUACCAGUGGAGAUGCUCCCUCAGGUAUGGAUCACUAGGCCCUGGCACAUCUGGGUCCGUCAUGACCUGAAGAGCGACAACACCCAGUUAUCAGCUGGAUGUUACACUAGCUAGCUUUGUGUACAGAUGAGAUGGCCGGAGAGGAGAGGAGAGGAGGGGCAAACCAGAGUGAAGAAGGAUCUCAUGUCGCCGCCCUGGACCUCAAUGCGUGGCUUGGACACGACCGCCGACGGGAAGAACUCGUGGCCAUUGAACACCUGCUUGUUGGAGCUGUAGGUCACCGUCAUCUUCACUGUGGGGUUAAAGUUGUCGAUGACCUCCCCGAUGACCUUUCCAACGACGAGAGGCUCCAGCACCCUAGCCAUGGCUAGCUACCUAGCUUGAACUGAAAAGUUGGUGAUGAUCGAUGACAGAUAUCUACAGCCGGCAGGGUAGCUAGUAGAAGCACGAGAGGAAUGAGGUAGUAUAACCUGAUGGUUGGUGUUGAGGUUGGGUGGCGUAGAGGCUCUAUUUAUAGCUGUGGAGAGCCGCGAGCUGAGUGAGCUGUGUGUGAGGAGGGUGAAGUUUUAAAGCUAGAUUAUCACUAGGUGAUGUUUGAUUAUUCCGUCCUUGCGCACUAUAAAACUGGGGCAUACACCUUAAAAGGUUUCAAACCUGAAAACUAGCAUAAGUCUGUAUAUUUGUGAUAGGUGGGUUAUGGAGGAAGUUUGUUCGAGUUAAUAAUGCACAGAAUCCCCACAUUUGGUAAAAGAAGAAAGCCUUAUUGCCAUGUAUGCGCCUACAAAGUCCCAAGCUGAGGUAGAUCAAUUGUACCAUACAAGUUCCCGAAACAGUUCAUUGAUCCUUCCGCAGCACAUAUUUAGAAGCCGCACUGUUUGAGCGCAUUGACAAUUGCUUAAAGGCCUUUUUCAAAAUUGUCUUAGUGAUGAUUGAGUAUGGCCUACACCAUUAAGUCUAAUACUAUGUAUUUAUAUCUAUGUCAAAAUGCUUCGUUUUUCUUAUUUUUCACUUGAAAAUGCAUGCAUGCAUAUAGUUUAAUUCUAUCCAGUCAAAAGAAUAUAUAUUUGGAAAAUUAUUUGUUGAUCUGUACUGGAAUAUUUUUGCAAUACUAUAAUUUUAUUAGGUAUUGCAAUUAUAUAAUGAGAAAGCGCAGUAGUGAGUGCAGAGCAGGGAGAUAUGGUGCUCCAACUCUGCGCUCAAACGUGAUUGACACCAAAGCCCAAGGGGUGCAAAAACAGACUGCGUGCGCUCCACUGGUGUCCCUCUGUACCUGUCUCGAGUUUGCUCCUAUUCGCUCUUGUUGGGCUUGGUGUUUGUAACUGUUAUUGGAUAAUUUCUGAUCUUAUGUACUCCAUCCGUUCACAAAUAUAAGAUGUUGUAUUACCUCUGUACACUAAUAUAAGAUGUUUUUGCAGUUCAAAGCAUCUUACAUUAGUUUACUGAGGGAGUAACCUUUUUGUGAAUCAGAUGUACUACCUCCGUUCAUAAUAUAAGAACAUUUUUUACACGAGUGUAGUGUCAAAAACGUUCCUAUAUUACGAGAUGAAGGGAGUAUAUAGCUACGGUUUUGGUGUGUUAGUUCGCCCAUUUCAAUCCGUAUGCAGUCAAUAUUGCAAUACUGAAAACAUCUUGUAUUUGUGAAUGAAGGGAGUAGUUUUUCGAAAUUGUUAUCUGAUUGUCAAUUUUCAUGUCUGGCAUUUUGCGGUAAGUACUUUUAUUUAUGUCUGGAUACUGCGCACUGGGCUAGCUUUGUACGUUUACUGCCAAUUGUUGUCGUACACGGUACACAGACCAAACAGUGAUGUGAUUGCCGCGGAGGGUCCAGCUAAACGAAAACAGUUCAUUCCCAUGUGCAUUUCAUUUCACGUGGGUAAACAACGGCGGGAUUUUUUUUUCUGAAAAACUUUCGAUUUAUUCAUCGACUGUCAAGGCAGUAGAAAACACUAGUAGAAGUAAAAAUUACAUCUCGGUCCACAGACCACCUAACAUGACUGCAAGCACUAGAGCGAAUCAAAGGUGUACUGCCGUCAUCACCCCUUUGUCAUUGGAGCCAGACAAACCUUUUGUAGUAGAUAGUCGGGAAGUCGUUAUGCUAAAGUUCAAUAGGAACAACACGCUAGAACAGGAGCCGCCGUCAAUGAAGAAAAGAAUAGAUCGGAAUAGUCCAACCUAAAGACACACGAAUGAAUCUCAAGACAGGUCAAAGUUUGCUGCCCGUCCGCCAGCUUAAUUAUGCUAAUUGUCAUUGCUCUUUCCGUCCAUUCUUUUUCAGUUAUUUAAGCAUUAUACUGUGUGAAUUCUCUGCGCCGUACCAUUUCACUUUUGGAUUCCACUAAGCUUAAACAAAGCGUGCCAACCUAGGAAGGAUAAGGCGGCAUUCUGAUUUGAUGGCUGCCGAGCUGGGCAACUCAGCAGGGGAUCAAAUGACGGGGUUACCCUUUUCGACAAUGCUUUAAAUAAAUAGUUUCAUUCCCAAUUUAUUUUAGUUAUGUUUAUUCUUGCUUGAAAAUGUAUCUCCUGCUGAGCAACCUAGUGGGGAUAUUUCGCCCUUCUGGCUGUUUUAGACUCUGUUCGCCACGUUUAUACAGAGAUGUAUGAAGACCCAGGCUUUUCCUCUUCACCGUGGUUUUUCUUGUGUUGAUUUAGACACAUGUGCCUUGGACUUGGAUUUUUCUUAACAGUUCAGAGAUGGACAUAGUCUCUAUGAUUUUGUAAGUGGCAUAUCAUCUCCUUUAUUCACAUUUGUGGUUGUGACGUGGAAUUCCUUGUUUCCCUUUUCUCAACCGAACAGAAUUCCGGCCGGAUUAUAUUGAAUAAGCAAAAUGUUGGGCUAUUUACUAAAGGCUGUCUACAAAAAUUCUCCAUACGAUUCCGUCGCAAAAAGAUAGAUUCUCCACACGAUUAUCACAGUUUGAGUUAAACACGUAGCGCCUCUGUUCUUACCUCCUUUUGUCGUGUCCAUGCAUUGCGGUUUGGUAGAUAGUGUUGCAAAGAACAUUCUAUAAACAGCAUUGCAUCAAGAUGGACUUGCCACUAUUGAUGAUUUAAUUAUUCUCGUGACAGUUGUGAGGUUGUGUGCUGGGUCUCUUUUUCGACUACAUAACAGGGUGGCCUCUCGUCAGCCCAACUUGAAGGAUCCUCUAUUUCGUAGCUUUAGUUUGCACUAGACUUGUAUUUUAGUUUGUUAUAGUAGCUUUGCAAUAGACUAAGUUAGGUUCUCCUUUGUUUCCAGAAAUGGAGUGUCCAGGUUGGGUCGAGCACAUGAUCUUUGCCAUGCUAAGGCCUCCGAUCUGCUUCUUUUGCACUCUGAAAAUAAACUCCAGUCGGCUUGCUUGGAUGGAACCUGCUACCUGGGCGACGGUGUCCAAUAAGCCGCUCGUAGUUGCAGCCUUGUCUAAACAACUCCAAGACCUGGCUUGUACUUUUCUAAAAACAUGUUGGAUGUUCGUGCUUUGCUAUAAACAAAAAAUCCCCCGCGUGCUCGGCUUUGUUAUGCACUCAAGUUGAGCUUUGCUGUGAGUUGUGACUCGUCUCAUGGUUUGUGCGGUGCUAUUUAUUUGUUAUAAUAUUUUUU